UUCAAAUUCAACGCAACAAGUCCACUUUGUUCCCCAAUUGAUUGGGGAAGCUCUUCAACAGCAGUCUCAUUUAAAUUUAAAUAUGUCAGUUUCCUUGCAGUCUCUGGGCACUUCUUGAGAUUUGAACAACCAGAAAGGUUAAGACUCUUCAGACAUCUUGAAUUAAUUCUACUGGGCAGAUUGAUUAGGCUUGUGCAGCCUCUCAAAUCUAAAUCAUUAAGCUUGUCCAGAUGCUGUAUAGAUGAAGGAACCUUAACCAAACUUGUACAGAAUUGAAGAUUCAUCUCUCAAGGUUUCUGGCCUUUGAAAGGUCUGGCAGGGAAGUUAUGUGCUCACAAUUGCUGAGGUUGACAUCUUUUAAAUUGACGAGAUUCUGAAGCAAAAUGAAAUCAACAGAAAGAAAUUACACGUGCAUACCACACCAAAUUUCAAAGAAAGAACUAUGCAUGCAUAGAGUUAUUUUUAGAAUACCUGGUCUCCCCUCCAUAGUUGCUUAACCUUGCUAGAUGAUAGGUUAAGUUCAACAAGGUUCUGUGGACGAAAAUUGCAAGGCAAAGAUGUCAAAGGGUAUCCAUCCCAAUGGAGAUACCUCAACUCAUGAGAAAGAGACUCGAGGCCACUAGGAAGGUGCACUGUGCAUUUAUCUCCAGCUACAGAAUUAUAAAUUUUUAACAGUUUAAGAUUAUACAUCCUUGCGAAGGCUGUAGAACUCAACUCUAUUUCUCUUAUUUCUGAAAAAUCCAACAUCCCUUCUACUUUUUCAGUUCUUAUUUUUGAAACAUCCAGGAAUAUCCCUUCAACUUUUCCAGUUCCCUGAAAACCAGUAAAGGAGAAGCAAAGUUUAAGUAAGAUUUUAAACCUACUAGUACAACCAUAGUGCAUUGCAUAGGAAAGGGUAAACUUUCGGGCAUGUGAAUCUCACCAGAUUAUUGGUCAACACUUGAUAUGCAUCUUUUGGAUUCCAUAAUCUGCUUUGUUUUCGUAGCUCAUAAGCAGAUUCUUUCCGAACAACUUCAUGGGCCAUUUCUUGCAAAAGAUCAUGCAUUUCAACCUUGUCAUCUGAAAUUUUAAUGAGACACCUGUCAAUGAGAACACUGAAUCCAAUAUCUGUUUUGAAACCGCAGCCAUCUAGUAUCCGCUUUACAAAAUCAACUCGAUGCCCUCCAAAGAAACAUGCAAUGUCCAGAAAUAUACUCUUCUCUUCACUAUCAAGUGCUUCAUAACUUAUUCUCAACACACUAUGAACUUUUUGCCGAGUUAGUUUUUCAUCCUUGUUCAAUGCACUUUCCCAUUCUUUUGUCGUUCUGCCAAAUAGAAAGGAACCUAAGACUUUAAGAGCUAACGGAUUCCCUUUAGCAUAAUUUAUUGCCCUCACAGACAGCUCCAUAUAAUUGUAUGGGAGCUGGUUAUCCUUAAAUGCAUGCAAACUAAAGAGAUGAAGGGCUUCCCGGUAAUUCAGUCCCUCAACCUCAAAUAUUUUGUCUGCAUAUUUCUUAAGGACCUGUUUAUCUCUAGAUGUUAGGAUAAUUCUACUUCCUGGACCAAAAUCACAUCCUCCAAGUAACAUUUCAAUUUGAUCUACAUCAUUCACAUCAUCGAAAACAAUCAGAACCUUUUUACGGCUGAUCCUGUCUUUAAUGAAAGGGUGUCCAAUACGUGGAGUGCGAAUAUGUAGAUUUUCUUCCUCUGUUAUUUUAGAGAAAAGUUCAUCUCGCAUACGAAAUAAUCCUCCAUUCUUUUCUGAUUCCCUCACAUUUGCAAGAAAAUAGUGACCUUCAUAUUCCCUUGCGAUCUUGUUGAAAAUCUCUCCAGCAAUGGUUGUCUUACCACUACCACCCAUGCCCCAAAUUCCUACAAAACAAACCUCCGGUAACUGUGUGCAUAAUAAGGCUUCGAUUUGCUUCAUACGUGAAUCCAUUCCAACCAGGCCCUUCAAAUCACUUGAGGAUGCAUAAUUCAAUUUCUUCAAAAUAUGAAGUACAAUUUGUUCCACGAGUCUCGACUCAGGCCUGCCAACAUGGAGGCGAACAGAUAUGUCAAAUAGUACAACUUGUGUGACGGAUUCCAAUUGCCAUACAUUAUAACACACAUACAUGUGAAAUCUAAAUUUACAGAUGCAUGGAAAAACUAUACUUUAAACUGCUCAUUUGGUAACAUUUAGAAGUCACAUAACAUAUUAUAAAGCUCAAAACAUAUGCUUCUGAAUCCAAAAAUAUGAUUAUCAACUUCAAGAAAUUUUAAUUGCUAUAAAUAAAUUUUAAUUGCUAUAAUUCCAGAAAAAAAAAGGUUGAAGAUGAGAAUCUAUAGUUACCUAGUAACCUGUGAAUCCCAUCCGGAUAUAUUGGCAGCACUUGUUAAGUCAGCUCUCCACCUUGGAACCUUGUCCAUCUUCUGCUUAAAAUUUCUUUCAAGCUCAGCAAACGCAUUCCCAAAACUCCCUGUCUGUUCGUCAACAUCGGACGGGUCCACAUGAUAGAAAACUGGUAAAACAAUCUGCCCGUAUGCCUUCUUGCAUUCAAGUAUCUUCACUAGUUCAUCCACACACCAUGGAGAAGAUGCAUAGUUUCUUGAGAAUAUUAUCACUGAAAUUCUCGAUUCUUCAAUUGUUCUCAAAAGUGCACCGUAAUUUCUUCUCCCCUUUCAAGUUUGUCGUCAUGAAGGUCUUGAUUUGUUUACGACACAGAGCAUCAUAGAGAUGGCUGAUAAAAUUAUCUCGCGUAUCCUUACCUCUGAAACUAAGAAACACAUCAUACUUCCAUUUUAGCAACAGCAGAUGAAGAUGCCAUAUCAGACAGUUACAAGAUCGUGUCUUCCUCAAUCACUAAGAAUCGAAUCAAUAAGUGCUCUCCUUUUCUCCUAAAGACAUAAAAGAGCACCCACUUCAACAGCUGAACAUUCAUUAAGAGAAAUUGAAGUCUAAGAGUACAAAACCCACACAACAUAUAUUUAUCAGAAAAUUCCUCAAACUCUUAACGAUGGAUAUAUACUAGCUUAAUUUGAUAUGAUCUAUCUUAAUUUGAUCACUCGUCACUUGCUACCAAUGCUAGCUUUCUAUUACUUUCAUUGCAAGAACAGUCACUAGCUGAGCAAAGAAUUACAGAUGGAGAAUUAAUAUGUUCAUGAAACAAACUUAUCAAACUCGUAUAUAUAAUCUUAAAUAUAGAAGACGCAUGAACCAGAAAGACUUACCAACAGAUCAUAAGAACAGUUGACUUGUGUUUUCAUCAGCAAACAAGACGAAGAAGAAGCUGAUAUUGUUGAUGAUAAGACGAUUUUUCUUGUCUAUUGCCUUCAAGUAAAUUCUUACAGACAAUCUGAUCUCAUCGUACUCUAAAUGUAAUCCCAGUUUUUGAUCAAGAAACAGGUGAAUGAGAGAAGACUUUGGGGUAAUCAAUACCAAGUACAUUAAUAGCUAGUCUAUCACAUCUUAGUCUUGUAUUUCAAAUAGACAACCAUGUUAACAUCAUCUCGCAGUAUUAAAUCCAUGUUAAUUUUCUUGGUGAGGCCAAAUUAGCAAACUCAACUCUGUCUUGCAUCAGCUAAAAGUCAACGCGUUAAAAGGGGUUUAAUAUAACACUUUAUUUUUAUUUUUUUUUUAAAUAAAGUUUGGCUUGGGGGGGCGCUUUGUUAAUCUUGAUUAUUAAAUAACUAUCUCUCAUUAAUCUGCCGUUGUGAUAGGAACGCUCUUUGACUUGCACCACAAGAAAACCAUACUUUCUCCACAAUCAUUAAUUAAUGAGCCAACAAAGACAACAGGCUAGAAAAACAUAACUACAAAUUGAAACCACCACCCCCACCUCACACCCAUUGCAAAGUGUCAAUAAUGUAAAAUCAAAACAAUCAAAAGGUAUUUUUGUACAAUAACACAAUUCAAAACAAACGCAAACUAAUAUUCUAGGGCCUGUUUUGAAUUAUGGUGGGAGUUGCAGUUAAAAGUAUUUUUUACUUAGAAAUAUAUUAAAAUGAUGUUUGUUUUUUUAAUUUUCAACAGGCUAAAAAAACAUAACUACAAAUUGAAACCACCACCCCCACCUCAUACCCAUUGUAAAGUGUCAAUAAUGUAAAAUCAAAACAUUCAAAGGGUAUUUUCUUGUACAAUAACACAAUUCAAAACGAACGCAAACUAAUAUUCUAGGGCUUGUUUUGAAUUGUGGUAGCAAUUGCGGUUCAAAUUAUUUUUUACUUAGAAAUGUAUUAAAAUGAUGCUUUUUUUAAUUUUCUAAAAAAUUAUUUUUGAGAUCAGCACAUAAAAAAAAAUCUAAAAAUAUAUAAAAAAAUUGAAUUUUAAGAAAACAUGGUUUCAAAACCACGUUCCCAAAUGUGGCCUAACCGUUAUCAAGAGCACCUCCUCUCCCUAUCCCUUCCAAGGUUGUCAAUUCCGUUUCGAUAGGUGUUUCGUCUUUUCAAUUGGAAUGGAAUGUUUCAGUUUCGGAGUGUUUCGACGUGCUGUUUCAGGGUUGUACUGUUCAUAUAUAUAUAUAUAUAUAUAUAUAUAUAUAUAUAUUCAACAAACAUAAUUCAAAUUCAAGAUAAAUUAAUUAUAAAUUAUGCAAUACAAACACAAUGCCAAACAAAUAUAAUUUAAAAUUUAAAAUUUUUCUAAAUAGUCAAGAUUAAAUAGAUCUUUAACUUAAAGUAAUUCAACUUAAACAAAAUAUCAAAAUAUUAUGAAAGUAAAAUGUUUUAACAAAAAUAUUUUAAAUAUAAAGUUAGGUCAAUGUUAUCAAGUGGCUAAUAGAAUCUAAAACAUCCCUUGUUUUGCUCAAAUUCCUACAAAGUAUAAACAUGAACAAAAAAAAACAACAUGAAUAUAAACCAUAUUUAUUAGUGAUAAAUCUAAUUUUAAAAAAUUAAUAUCAUUGUUAAUGAAAAUAGUAAUAAUAAUUUUCAAUAUUAUUAUUAAUAUCAUUGCUAUUGAAAAUAGUAAUGUAAAAGAGUUUUUUAUAAUCGGGUGGUUUAAUUAAUGAAAUUGAGCAAGGUUCAAUUUGAUUCAAUGGCUUUUCAAGAGCGAAACGGAACAUGUGGAAUGAAAUCGGAACGUUUCGGGCGGAAUUUAGCUGAAAAAUCCGGAACAGACCGAGAUUCAAAAUGAGAUGAAAUUUGUUCCGUUUUUUGAAUUGGUAUGGAAUGUUUCGGCCAUUCCAGGCGGAACGGAACGGAAUUGACAACCUUGAUCCAUUCUCCUUCUCCCCCAUUCCAAUUAAUAUGCUAAUAUAAAAAAAAUUAAAUAUUCAAAAUAUUAUUUUAAAAUAUUUUUAAGUAAAAUAUAUCUUUAAAAAUCACUUUAUAUAACAGCACCAAAUUUUCAUUUUUUUUUGCCUUUUGGAUUCAACCCAUAGGCAAUGACUUUAUCUUCUGCAAAUUUAAUAAUUGUCAUAUUUGAAAGUUCAAUCCCAGUCAUUACAAAAAUAAAGAUAAAAAUAAAAAAUAAAAUAGAGACCUAACCCAAAAGAUCUUAGCCAUGCAUGAUUGGAUCUUAGCCUAACCGAGUUUCAUGGAGCUCAACUAGACCUGGCUAAGGGAAGACGGUGAAAGGGAUGAGAGCUCGGUUGGGCAUAAUAGGCCUAACCUAGUUGUGGGGCCCAACCGAUAUAUAUUUUAUAUUAUCCUAUCAUUAGUUUUAAUUUACUAUAAAAUUUAGUAACCUUCUCUAAUUUCCACAACAAGGGAUACAAGGAGUUUUUUUACAGAAUGUGCUCGGUUGGGCACAUUCUGUUUUUUAUCUAAUUAUAAAGAAAAACUUGUUUAGUUAAUAAAAAUUGUUCCUAAAUAUAAUUCUAUUUCAAAUCUUGAUUUUAUAUAAUAAUUUAUUUUUUAUUCAUAGAUAUUUGUUUAUAAUUUAUUUUACAUGUAAAAACCUGUUUUAUAGUAGUUUUAACCAAACAUAUUUGGUUUAAAUCUAUAUUUUUAAAACUGCAUCUAAAAGUUUUUUUUUUCUCUAAACCGUAACGGUAAAAACUACACACUAAAAAACUAUUUUUCUUUGUUUUUUUUUUUAUUAAAUCUCAAGGAAUAUUUCAAAAUUGGAUCAAAUUUAAUCAAGGUUUGUUGUUCUAUAUAAUAUAAUUAAAAAGAAAAGGAGAAAAUUAUAAUUGACUUUCUUGUAUUAUCUUAUUGAAAAUUAUUGUUGGCUUUAUUGCAUAUAACGCAAUAAUAUGCUUUGUAGUCCAAAACAAAGCUGCUUUUUAGGUUGAUCCAUGUAAGUAAAUAACAAGAGUAACUUGGACGGAUGGUUUUGUAAGGGAUUAAGCGUGCGUGCGUGCGUGCGUGCGAGCGAGCGUGAGAGAGAGAGAGAGAGAGAGAGAGACCUCACUGUAAAGUCUUUUGGCAUAUAGCUGAAUUUUCAAGAGAGCGUAUGCCAUGAUAUUGUUGAGUGCAGCCUCACCCAACAUGAGACAAUUAGUAAAGAUGAAUUCAAAAAUGUUUCCAUCAACUGUAGUUGAUGAGCUUGGGACUGUUCUCAGAGAUGUGCAGCUGUGUGCAUCUAGUUUUGCAAGCCGUGGUGGAAACUUGGUGACAUUUGAGCAGCCAGAGACAUCAACAAUAGCAAUAGACUUCAACAAACAAAUACUGUCUGGAAGAUUCCCAAGUUGUUUACAGUCCCUCAAAUUCAAAGCAACGAGUCGACUCAGAUGUCCAAUAGAUUGGGGAAGUUCUUUGAUUGCAGUCUCAUUGAAAUUCAAAUACAUCACAUGCUCUGUAGUCUCUGGGUACAUCUUGAGAUUUGAGCAGCCAGGGAGGUUAAGAGCCUUGAGAUAUUUCGAUUUAAUGAUUCUUGGAAGACUCAAAAGGCUUGUGCAGCUUCUCAGAUCCAAAUCAACAAGCUUCUCUAGAAAUUGAAUAGAUGAGGGAACCACUUUCAGAGUUGUAUAAAAUUGAAGAUUCAAUCUCUCAAGACUUUUAGCCUUUGAUAGGUCUGGAAUUGCAGAAGAUGCUCACAAUUACUAAGGUUGACCUCUGUUAAAUUCACAAGAUUCUGCACCAUCAUAGCAUUGAUAACAAAAAAACCAUUAGUAUCUGUACAUUUUAUGUGAUGUUUUGUAUUAAAAAGAUUGGAAAAUACAAUAAAGUCCUUGGUGGCUUAAAGAGAGGGUAUAAAUGAUUGAGGGUUAGUGUGUUAAUUGAACAAUAGUUGAUAAAUAUAAAUAAGAAGAAAAAAAAAAAAACAAGAAUGAUCUGAUUUUGAGAGAAAGAGAGCUGCGGGAGAGAAAGGAAAAGAGGAAGAAGAAGAAAAGAAAAGAGAGAAGGAAAGGAAGGAGAAGAGAAGUAGAGGAAAUAAGUAAAAAAUGUAAGAUUUAUUGUUUGAAGUGUAUAAUAUGUUAAAUUUUAGUUUUGAUUAAUUUUGAGAGUUUUGAAGUUUGUAUUUUGAGUUAAUUGAUGAAUUAAUUUGAAGGUUAGGAGUUGAUUAUUGUGGGUAUUUGAUUAAUUAGUUGAUUUUGAGAGAUUGAAUUGAAGGAUAAUGAUUUUGAGUUAUGAUUUUGUUUAAAUGGUGAAAUUGUGUUAGAAAUCAGGGAUAACAGUAGGUGAUCUGUUGAAAUUCUGGGUUUGAGGUUGAAGAUGACGAAAAUUCAGUUUGGUCCCUCAAUUUGUGAAAUUGCAGUUUAGUCCCCGAACUUUGGAAAUUUUACAGAUUGGUCCCUGGGGCAUAAAUUGAGGUUCUGAACAGAACUGAGGAUGAUUUAAGGACAAAAUUCCAGUAUAAUUAAUAUUUUCAGUUUGGUCCUCCAAUUUGACAAAAAGAUUUGACCCUAAAUUUUGUAAAUCAAUGGACCUUGGGCAUAAUUCAAGAUUCCUGGACAAAGAUAAGACGAAUUAUGGAUAAAUUUCAGUAUGGUUAUAUAUUUACAAUUCGGUCCUCAAAUUUUGGUAAAAUUACGUUUUGGUCCCUGUUUUGGAAAAUUGUCGUUUUAGUCCCUAAACUUGGGAGAUUAAGCCCGGUUUAUUUUAUGCAUUGGGAUCUUUUGUUUGAUUUGUUUUUGAGUAUAUUUCAUAUAUUUAUUGUAGGUUCUCCUAACGAUCCUUAAUGGAUUUUCGGGUCUUUCGUCUGACAUUCCUUUUAGUUCAUAUUUUCCGGGUGAGUGGAAUAAUCUUUAAUAUGCAUAUAAUAUAAAUAAAUAUGUAUGUUGAUUAUACAAUGAGUACAACUAGUAAAUUUCUUGAAUAUUUAUAUAUGUUGCUUUAUUUUCCGAGUACUCAUUUAUUCUUGAAUUUGCACUCGCAAUCUGAUAAAGUAAAUUCUAUUUGAUAUGAUAUAUGUAUCUGAUCAAGUAAAGUCUAUUUGAUAUGAUAUACGUUUCUUUGAUGAUUAUGUGAAUAUCUAUUAUGCCUUGAUAUGGGACUUGUCAGUAACUCCAUGCUAACGGAGAAUAGUUAGCCUGUGUGCACAUAGUAUUCUGUUACCUAGCUAGUGAGAGAGGCAUCAGCCUGUGGCGAUUGAUCAUCCCACAGUGGUCACCGACGGGUGUCAUCUGGUCACCUUCGGGUGUCAUCUGGUCACCUUCGGGUGUCAUCUGAUCUCUGACAUGUAAUCCACUACGUUAUGAUAAUAUGUUACGUUAUGAUAAUAUGUUUAGUAAGUAUAUGUAUAUGUAUAUGUAUAUCAAGAUAAAUCAUCUUGCAAAUACUAUCUGAAAUAUAUGAAAUGUAUAUUAAAUGUUAUUCCCUCACUGAGUUGGUUGAACUCACCUCUCAUUUUUUAAUAUUAUUUCAGGUUCUUAGUUUCUGGAACUUUGUUGAGUGUUUCCGCUUCUUCAGUUCUGGUCGGUAUGCCUUGCUUGUUCGCGAGGCUUUCCUUUCAGUUUUGAUUUGAUAUCUUAGAUGCUCCACUGUUACCUUGGUUUAAUUAAAUUUGGAUUUGGACAAUGUAAUGAGUAUUAUGAAUUAUUAUUUUUGUUUUAAUAACUAUCUUUCGGUUUCAUCAGUAUUUGAAUAAUAUAAUAUUUCUGAAUAUUAUGAGCCGCUGCGUAUUUUUGAACAAAUUGUUCUUUUGAUAUGUCCGUUCUGAGGCUUAGCGUAGGUGAGGUGUCCUUUCGACACCGCUCCUACGUUGCCGGUCACGGAUCCGGGAUUCGGGUCGUGACGUUUUAAAAUUCAUUUGAAAAAGGACAAAGAUUACAUGUGUAGUGACUAAAACAUACCCGGUCCCCCUUCCAAAGUUCUCGAACCUUGCUGUGUGAUAGGUUAAGUUCAACAAGGUUCUCUGGAUGAAAAUUGGAUGGCAAAGAUUUCAGAGGUUAUCCAUCCCAAUGGAGAUACCUCAACUCAUCAGAAAGUGAUUUGAGACCAUUAGAAAGGUACACUUUACAGUUCUUUCCAACUUCAGACUUAUAAAUUUUGAGCAAUCUAAUAUUAUACAUCCGAGCAAAAGCUUUAGAGCUUAACUUGAGUUCUUUUAUUUUAGAGGUGUCAAAGAAUAUCCCUUCAACCUUUUCAGUUCCCUAAAGAUCACAGCAAGGAAAAAACUAAAGCAUGAUAAGUAACACAAAUCCAUGGUCAUAUGUGAGUACUUUCAAACUUCAUAGACCAAAUAUCGAAAAAGAAACAAGAAAUGAAAGAAAUUAAGCAUUUGCAUACAUGACACUCACCAUAUUUUUUGUCAAAACUUGAUUGACAUCCCCAGGACUCCAUAACCUACUAUGUUUUCCCAGUUCUUUUAUGGAUUCUUGUCGGACAAUUUCAAAAGCCAUUUCUUGCACCAGAUCAUGCAUUUCAAGCUUUGCAUUUGAAAUUGUAAUAAGGCACCUUUCAACAAGAAAAAAAACUCCAAUAUUUGUUGAGAAACUGGUGCAAGCGUUAUUUCUAAGGUGCCUACUGGAAAGGAAUCCAGUAUUUAGUGAUGUUUACGUAGAGGGCAAGAGAGUCUGCAAUGGGAAUUUAGAGGUUUAAUGGCAACUCCAUUAAUCAUACUUUCAUUAUACUUUUCAUAUCCCUUCUGUUACAACCGUGCUGCAUAUAUAUACACAGCCUACCCAUUACUGGCCUAACCGUAUCCUUUUGUUCCGGACUGAUGAGCACACACAACCUGGUGCUUCAGUUUGUUACAGGAACAGUGGCGCUAAAUGAAACGGGGCGUUUUAGUCUGGCUAUAAUGACUAUAACGGCUUUUUAACAAUUCAAAUUAUAACGGCUAUUUUAACAAUCAAAACUACCUGCCUCAGCCUGUGCAUGUAAUAGGUAUCCCCCCUUCAAAAAGCGACCUUGUCCUCAAGGGAGAAUUCAGGGAAACGACAGCGAAUCUCAUCAGCAAACUCCCACGUAGCAUCAGAUGGUGUGAGACCCUUCCAGUGGAUUAGGACCUGAGUAGUGGCCUGGUUAUCUUUUUUCACCAUCCUGCGAUCCAAAACUAUAUGGGAAAUAAUCAUAGGAACUGAAGGACUACUAGGCACUAUGGACUGCACUAUCUUGUUUCCAAUGUGUUUCUUUAACUGGGACACGUGAAAAAGUGGGUGAAUGGAAGCCGUGCGGGGUAGUAACAACUUGUAAGCUACAGAACCAAUCCGUUUUAGGACUGAAUAAGGUCCAUAGAACUUGGAAGCAAGUUUCUGAGAACUUCUGUGUGCCAUGGUUUUCUGUCGAUAGGGCUGUAACUUGAGGUAAACUAAAUCCCCAGGAGCAAAAUGUCUGUCACUACGCUUGCGAUUGGCAAGUUGUACCAUACGAUGUUGAGCUUUGAGUAAAUUAUCUUUGACUUGGCCAAGCAUCUCUUCUCUCUAGGUAAGCAGUUGAUCAACAGCCUCUACUGUGGAAUCUUUAGGAAAGUAGGGGAUGUGUAGAGGAGGAGGAAAACCAUAUAAAAUCUCGUAAGGAGUAGACUUAGUGGCGGUGUGAUAAUUGGUGUUAUACCACCAUUCAGCAAGAGGCACCCAUUUGGACCAUUGAUGAGGACUGCCACCAGACAUACAACGCAAAUACUGCUCUAAGCACCUAUUCACCACUUCUGUUUGGCCAUCAGAUUGUGGGUGGUAAGCUGUAGAGUGAUGUAGAUCGACUCCCUGAUGGUGGAACAGUUGCUGCCAAAAAUGGCUCAAGAAGACUGGAUCCCUGUCACUGACAAUUGUAGAUGGAAAGCCAUGCAACUUAUACACAUUGUCCAUGAAAACUCUAGCUACCGAAGAAGCUGAAUAGGGAUGACUAAUGGCCAUAAAAUGUGCAUAUUUGCUGAACCUGUCAACUACCACAAAAAUGACUUCCUUACCUUCUGAUUUAGGAAGGCCUUCAAUGAAAUCCAUGCUGAUAUCAGUAAAGGGAGCAAAAGGAAUAGGUAAAGGUUGCAGCAAGCCUGGCGUUAACACAUUUUCAUGUUUAUUUUGCUGACAGAUACCACAUUCCCUCACAAAUUGCCUAAUGUGUUUUUGUUGCUUCUUCCAGUAGAGCAAACUCCCCACCCUUUGAGCAGUAACCACCACCCCUGAGUGGCCCCCUGAAGCUGUAUUAUGGUAUAAGGAGAUCAACUUGUUCUGUAAUGCAGGGUUGUGGCCUACCACGAUUUUGCCCUUCUUGUUUAAGUGAUUGUUGACCCACGUAUAGUGAGGAUGGGAACUGGGGUCAUGCAACAAAUCUUGUAUAAUGUGUUUGAGACUGUCAUCUGAUGCCCAGGUCAGCUUGAUUUCAUCCAUGAUAGGAGUAGAGAUAGAAGACAUGAUCAUUGUGCUUAUGUGUCCACUAGGAAUCCUUGAUAAGGCGUCUGUUGCUACAUUCUCUUUCCCUUUGCGAUAUUCGAUCUCAUAAUCAAACCCAAGUAAUUUAGUAAGCCAAAGGUGUUGAGAAGGACAUGUUACCUUUUGAUCCAGCAAAUGCUUAAGGCUAACAUGAUCAGUCCUUAUGCGAAAAUGUCUUCCCCACAGGUAGUGUUUCCAUUUAGCCACGGCUUGUAGGAUUGCAAACAUCUCCCUCUCAUAAGCAGAUAAGACCUGCUGCCUAGGACCAAGAGCCUUGUUGAGGAAAGCUAUAGGAUGCCCUUCCUGCAUCAACACAGCUCCCACACCCGUGCCUGAGGCAUCUGUUUCAAUUACAAAUAACUUGGUCAUGUCGGGUAAUGCCAAAACUGGAGGAUGUGUCAUUGCUUGCUUUAAUGUUUCAAAAGCAACCGUAGCCUCUUCAUUCCAUUUGUAAGAAUCCUUCUUGAGGAGCUGGGUUAAAGGUUUGCAGAUGGUCCCAUAGCCUUUGACAAAACGUCUGUAGUACCCUGUGAGUCCAAGGAAUCCUCUCAGCUGUUUGAUGUUUUUAGGAAAUGGCUAAUUGACAAUGGCCUUGAUCUUGACUGGAUCCGUGGCCACCCCAGACUUGGUGAUUACGUGGCCCAAAUAUUCAACUUGAGAACUGCCAAAAACACACUUGCUUUUCUUAGCAAGAAGUUUCUGGCUCCUGAGUAUUUCAAACACAAUUUGUAGCUGCUCGACAUGCUGUUCCAAGGUAGGACUAUAUACCAAGAUGUCAUCAAAGAAAACUAGAAUGAAUUUUCUUAAAUACCGCCUGAAGAUGUCGUUCAUCAAGCUCUAGAAGGUAGCGGGUGCGUUUGUUAAGCCAAAUGGCAUAACCAAGAACUCAUAAUGGCCAUUAUGAGUUCUGAAAGCUGUCUUGCGAAUGUCUCCAGCCCGCAUCCUUAUUUGAUGAUAACCAGCCCGUAGAUCAACCUUAGAAAACACAGUAGCUCUGCCCAGUUCUUCCAACAAUUCUUCUACAAUUGGAAUAGGAAACUUGUCUUUGAUGGUCAUUUUAUUAAGAGCUCUGUAAUCCACACACAAGCGCCAAGUGUCGUCCUUCUUCCUUACCAAAACUACAGGUGAAACAAAAGGGCUGGUGCUGUGUUGUAUGAUGCCCGAAUCCAGCAUUUCAGUGACUAUUGUUUCCACUAUGUCUUUUUGUAAGCCAGCAUGACGAUAAGGCCUGAGAUUGACUGGUUGGGAUCCUUCUUUGAGAGGAAUGGCAUGGUCAUGUGCUCUUAGAGGAGGCAGUCCUGUUGGCUCCUUAAAAAUGUCCUAGUAAGAAUGCAACAAUUCAUCUAUGGUUGAAUUAUUUCCAAUGUUAGGUUGAAGAGUUGUUGUCAUUGAACUGAUAGCAUGAUCACUAUCUCCCACCACCCUUAGGCUGCGUAAAUUCACUUCCACCAGCUGGUUUGGACUGUUCAGUAGGCUAUUGAAUUGUUCAAAGCCAAUUGUCUGCAGCUUAACUGGAAUAUCCCCUUGCAGUAAAAUGUCCUGCCCUUGCCAUAUAAAAGACAUCCACAAUUCUUUAAAAUUAGAUAAAAUGUUACCUAAUGUAGCUAGCCAUUGUACUCCCAGCACCACGUCACAAUUAUUGAGUUCCACUACAAACACAUCUGUGGAGAAUUGGACUCCCUGCAUUCUCUAGAGGAAGUUCUUACACACAGAAUUGCAAGUCAUCUGGCCUCCAUUUGCUGCUUCGACUGCUAAUGGCCGGAUUGGAGUGAGGGUGCAGCUCAAUUGCCUGGCCACCUGGGUGUUUAUAAAAUUGUGUGUGCUCCCAGAGUCGAUCAUGAUGAAGAGGGGGGUUUUAUCAACCUUACCAGUCACUCUCAGGGUCUGAAAACCUGAAGUACCCUCCAAGGCAUUGAUUGAUAUUUGGGGUGUGAAGGUGUCAGGAUCAACUUCACUGUCUGCUUGGACCUCAUCUUCUAACACCUCCUCAUUGCCCACAAUACAUAGGGAAUAAACCUUUUUGUUUUUGCAUCUAUGGCCCGGUAUGAAUUUUCUUCACACCAAAAACACAAUCCCUUCGCCCUCCUCUCAUCCAGUUCUUUAUUCCUUAAGGUCUUAGUAGGUCGGUAUGGUUUGUUUGGGGAUUUCUGGUGGUAAGGAUAUGGUUUGAUAGUGGUGUUAGUCGGGUAGAAGGUGGGUUUAGUGCUAUUUUGGGUAGUGUAAGGCUUGGGUGAAUUAGCACUCGUAGGGCUGUAUGUGUUUUUAGAGUAAGACUGGUGUGGCUGUCUAUGGCUAAUGGUGUUUUCUUGUAGCCUAACUAGAUUGUAGGCCUAGUAGAGGGUUUUAGGCUCAAACAUUUUGACCAUGUUCUUAAUCUCCACUUCUAAUCCUCCAAGGAAGAAAACCAAUGCCUGCCUUUCUGUCAUUUCUGCUCUAUUCCACAGAAUAUCAAAUUCCUGUAUAUAAGAUUCUAGAUCAGUCUUCUGUUUAAGGUCUUUUAGUUCCUCUAAAGGAUCAGUUUGGCCUCCAAAACGACAGCAUAAUGCAUCAAUGUAUUCACUCCACAGGACUUCAGGUCGAUGCCUAACAAAAUUCUAGUGCCAGUAUAAGGCUCGGUCAUCCAUGUAGUAUGAUGCUUGUUUGAGUUUUUCAGAAUCAGUCAUUUCUGUAAUUUCAAAGUAUUGGUGACACCUGAAUAGCCAUUGAUAGACAUUGUCUCCAUUGAAACUAGGGAAAUCACGUCUAGGUUUGAAUACCUGGUGAAGAUGUUGAUCUGCUUCUCUGGUCUAAUUAUUUCUGCUGACUCCAUUGGAACACCCCGGCUGUUCAAGGUUAGCAUGUAGUUCACCUCUUCCUGAGCUCAGCCUCUGUAGGAAGGAGUUUUGCUGAAAGGUUAGACCACUGAUUAAGUCUUUGAUCUCUCCAAACUUAACCUCGUGACUCUCCAUUUUCUGGCCAUAGACUUCUAAUAACUUGGUUACUUGCUCAUAUUUGGCCGCGUGCUCCUUGUUGGCAGACUCAAUCGUCUCCUCCAAGCGUCUUAGAUCCUGUGUUCUUGUGUCUGGAGGCAUGGCUGUUGUCCAAGGUUCGCGAGCUCUGAUACUAGUUGGUGCAAGCGUUAUUUCUAAGGUGCCUACUGGAAAGGAAUCCAGUAUUUAGUGAUGUUUACGUAGAGGGCAAGAGAGUCUGCAAUGGGAAUUUAGAGGUUUAAUGGCAACUCCAUUAAUCAUACUUUCAUUAUACUUUUCAUAUCCCUUCUGUUACAACCGUGCUGCAUAUAUAUACACAGCCUACCCAUUACUGGCCUAACCGUAUCCUUUUAUUCCGGAUUGAUGAGCACACACAACCUGGUGCUUCAGUUUGUUACAGGAACAGUGGCGCUAAAUGAAACGGGGCGUUUUAGUCUGGCUAUAACGACUAUAACGGCUUUUUAACAAUUCAAAUUAUAACAGCUAUUUUAACAAUCAAAACUACCCGCCUCAGCCUGUGCAUGUAACAGAAACCACAUCCAUCCAGUAUUCUCUUCACGUAAUCAAUUUGCUUCCCUUUAAAGAAACACGCAAUAUCAAGAAAUAUGUUCUUCUCUUCAUCACCAAGUGCAUCAAAACUUACUUUCAACAUAUUAUAAAUUUUCAGCUGAGGAUUUCUUUCAAGUUUAUUCAAUGCAUUUUCCUAGUCCUCUUUCCUCAGGUCAAAUAGAAAGGAAUCCAAAACUUUAAGAGCCAAUGGGUUUCCUUUAGCAUAAUUUACUGCCCUGAUUGAUAGGCCCAUAUAAUCUUUUGGAAUGUGGUUUCCUUUGAAGACAGACAAACUGAAGAGUUGACGAGCUUCACUGCAAUUUAAUUCCUCGACCUCAUAUAUUUCAUCAGCCACAUUCUUAAGCACUUGUCUAUCUCUGGAUCCCAUGCGUAGAGUGUCAAUACUCUGGAAAGGAAUUCCUCUCGCAAGCGAAUCAAGCCACCACAUUCUUCCGAUUUCUCUCUUACACUGGUAAUAAGACAGCAGCUUUCAUAUUGACUUGAAAUACUGUUGAAAACAGCUUCCGCAAUGGUUGUCUUACCCAUACCACCCAUGCCCCAUAUUCCGAUUAUGCGAGCUUCAGAUGAUCUAAUGCAUAAAAGUGUUUUGAGUCGUUCAAUGCGUGAAUCUAUCCCAACUAGGCCCUUAGAGUCACCUAAUGAUGUGUGUUUCAAUUUUUUCAAAAUGAAUUGCACAAUUUCACUUACGAGUUUGGACUCAGGCCACAUACAAUGGACUAGAUGAUGGCAUGUCUAGGACAAGAUGCUGGGACCUGGUACGAUGGACUGUCUAGGCCAAGACAGAAACACAACAACAUUAGCGGCAUGUGGGGUGGACAGCUCAAGCGAAGCAUGGGGUGGACUUUCCAAGAAGGGUCUGGGGCAGACAAUUGACCAUGUGGUUCGUGAGGGGCAGACCAGGCUAUAAGAACAUAUAGGGUGGACUGGACAAGAGAGGCAUGUGGGGUGGACAGCUCAAGGGAAGCAUGGGGUGGACUUUCCAAGAAGGGUCUGGGGCAGAGCACUCAUGUGUGGAACAUAAGUUUAUGCUGUGGAGUAUGCAACAACUUGUAAGCAGAAGGUAAAUUCUUCGUAUCACACAGACGGAUUUGUGUAUUCCUUUGUCAAAAAUGCUUUUAUGUUUUAAAAAAUUAAAAUUUCAAAAUUACUUAAGAAUAAAAGAUUUUAGAAAACAAAAUUCUUUUUUUUCAAAGAAAUAAAAUCAUGCAUGCUAGCUCUUGUAUAGUGUAAGAGCGUUUUCAAUAUGAAAUGAAAUUUUGUCAAAUUGAUUGGUAAAACUUGUUAAAAUGACGUAUUAAAAAAAAGAUUUCUUGAAAAUACAUAAUAAACAUUUUUGAAAAUGUUGAGACUUAUUAGUUAAGCUAUUUACCUUUUAAAACAAUAUCUAAAAAAAAAAACAGGUAGUUACAAUACUUCAAUACACUUCAAUUGUUCUACGAAAUGACAAUAUUAAAAUAAAAUAAAAAAUGCUUGCAAGAAAAUAAAAGCUUGAUGUCAUAUUAAAAUAUAAUUAUUUAAUCUCUAUAAUUUUAAAUCUAUAAAUAACAUAAUCUUAUUUUAUUAAUUUCAUAUCUUUUAUUAAUUUAUUUUUAAAUUUUUUAAAAUAAAAAUAAAAAUUUUAAGUACAUAAGAUGCAAAAAAAAAUAUGAGAAAAGAAGGUAUAUUUCGUUAGCAAACGACUUGAUUAACCUUUGUCAAUUCUAGUAAAAAAUCAUUAGUCAUAUUAAAAUUUAGAUUGGUAGGUUUGCUCUCCAUUUCAUCCAUUAAGGUUUGGAUUUUGUCAAAUUUUGCAAAAGGGAAAGAAGAAUACAUUAAUCUUAGAUUGGUACAUGAAAUGAAUACCAUCGCUGAUAAAAAUAAAUAAAAGAAUAAUCCAAUUCUCAUCUUAAAAUUUUCUUGGAAUCGACAGCAAUUCACCCCUGUAUCCUUAUCAAAAUAAUUAUUAUAUUAUUUCUACCGUAAAACCCAAGUGUCAUUCAUAUUAAUUAUGCCUUCUCUUUUUUCUCGAGGGAAAAACGUAGCCAAUUUCAUCCCAUCUCAUGCUUGGAACAUGCUCUCUUGGCUUGGAACAUUGCUUCCAAUUCAUCUCGAUCAAGAGGAAAAAACGGAUAGUCUGGCGCCCUGGUCAAAGCAAAGCGACGUAUCUCAUCUUUAUCUUUGGCAUCCAGUAGACGGACUCCACACUCGUUUACUUGACAAAAAUCUAAUGGUAAAAGAUUAUCUUUCCUAUCUACUAGUUGGAAUUCAACUGAGAUCUCAUUGUAUUCCCUAAACAUAUCCUUUUCUUUGACAACCAAACAGGGAUCAAAUACACAAAUAUGUGUUCUGAGUCCAUGCGCUUCUCAUCAUACCAACCAUAAAAAUAGCAAAAGACAUCAUGGCUAUCACCGUGCUCAUUGUGAAAGUGAUACGUGCAUUUAACUCGCAAAUCAUGGCUGACAGAACGAAAUGCAAUUACAGCGCAAAGACAGAAACCUAGGAAGGACUUGCUAUUAGCCCACUGUGAAGAUAGUUGGAAUGUUACUGUAGAUCCCCACUUUUGAUGGCUAAACCACUUCGGAUUCACAUCUCCUGGGAGGUAGAAACUGAUCGGUACUGCCACUACUAAAGUAUUGGGCUCCUUCUGUUAACAAAACAACAUCUUUUAAAAAUAAGACAUGGCAAAUAUGGCAAGGAAAGAAAAAAGUAUAUCUAUUGGUAUAACACAAUUAAAAAAGUUUGAGAAAUAGACCGCAUGGUAUACCUCUUCGGAAUAAAGCAUGAAACCCGAAGAAACACGCAAUAUCAAGAAAUAUGUUCUUCUCUUCAUCACCAAGUGCAUCAAAACUUACUUUCGACAUAUUAUAAAUUUUCGGCUGAGGAUUUCUUUCAAGUUUAUCCUUUGGUCAAAUAGGAAGGAACCCAAAACUUUAAGAGCCAAUAGGUUGCCUUCAGCAUAAUUUACUGUCCUGAUUGAUAGGCCCAUAUAAUCUUUCAGAAUGUGGUUUUCUUUGAAGACAGUCAAACUCAAGAGUUGAUGACCUCAUAUAUUUCUUCAACUACAUUCUUAAGCACUUUUCUAUCUCUGGACGUCACAAGAAUUCAACUUCCUGGACCAAACAUAUCAUGCCUAAGACAUGUUCAUAUCCCAAGACAUUCUGUACUAGUCAUUCUGUGGAUUCAAAUUAACAUGCAUAACAUGGGAAGCAUGAUCCCAAGACAUAUUUGUUGGCGUGAGUUACGCAAUUAGCUAGCUUAGACUGAUGAAUCCUUUCCCUUGAGGGACAAACAUGAUUGUAGUCGAAGAUAUUGUAUAGGCAUUAAAUAACUUUCUAAAAUAGUUCCUUGUAUCUCUAUAUUCUUGUAUCUCUAUAUCUUGUACUCAGAUUAAUGAAAUAACAUAACAAAGAAAGCUAAUUUUGUCAUGGUAUCAGAGCAGGAUCUUAGGUUUCCUGUUUUUUGAUCAGGCAGGGAUCAAGUUUUUCUUUUUUCUUCUUCUUUUUGUUUGGCUUCUAUGGCUGACUCCACUAAAACUAUUCUUGAUAAUCUGACAUAAAAAAUGACAGAGGUCUUGACAAGGGUCCAGAUUAAAAUUUGAAUUUUAUCAAAUUUUGCAAAAGGGAAAGAAGAAUACAUUAAUCUUAGAUUGGUACAUGAAAUGAACACAAUCACUGAUAAAAAUAAAUGAAAGAAUAACCUAAGUGCCAUAUUAAAAUUUUCUUGGAUUCGGCAGCAAUUCGUUACACUAUAUCCUUGUAAAAAUAAUUAUUAUAUUAUUUCUACCGUAAAACCAAGUGCCGCACGUGUGCGGCGUCGCGGCGAAAAACUACAUAGUGUUUGUUUCCAUUUUCUUAAUCUACAAUGUAAAUCUAUCUAUAUCUAUGGGGAUACAAGAAAAUGCUGUCUUUUAUUGGUAGAAAAUGGAAUGGGAGUCGCCACCUAGUAUUUUGGUCACUAGGAACCCUAACUGGUCUCAGAGAUUGGGUACGGGGACUGGUUGCGUAAAGGGAAGGUAUUAGCACCCCAAAUACGCCCUACCUAAGGUAAGCUGCAUUGUUUUAUUGUCUGAUAAAAACUAAGGUGUUAGUGUACUUCUAGUCGUUGGUCUGUUUGUGGUUCAAGAAAAAUCCUCCUCGGUAAGAAGGUCUUUUAUCUUAUCGGGUAAAAUCCUAACCGUUCUAACGUCUAUACCAAAACUUUAUUAAUAAUAUUUAGGAAUACGUUUUACGUAUAAAUUCGUAAUCCCAAAUACUAAAAGAAAACAAAAAGAUUUUUUAAGAAUUUUUGAAAUAUUGGCCUAGUUCUCAUGGCUUGAAUAAACUGGUUAUUAAAGCCAAAAUGCAUGCUAAUACAUAUAUUGUUUUGAAAAUUUUCUUUGUUGUGUGAAAAUAUGAUGUUAUAAUAUUUAUAUAUAUAUAUAUUGGAGAGACUAGGCCGUAUUUUAAAACAAAAACAAUUUUUUGAAAAUAUUAUUAUUAUUAUUGUUUUGACGAAAAUCAGGUAUUUUAAUACUGAGCUUGUAUCCUUACGAUAUAAAAAUACAACCCAAUAUUAAUCCACCUUGAUAAAAAUAUGCAGAAAAAUCAACAACAUUUUUAGGGACUUUUUAGAAUUUUUUUGAAAGCAAAAACAUUUUUUAUUCUGAAAAUCUUUGAUAUUUUGACGAAAACCGGGUAUUUUUAACACUGGUUUUGUAUCUUUACGGUAUAAAAAUACAAACCAACAUUAAACCACUUUGACAAAAAUAUGCAGAAAAUCAACAAUAUUUUUAAGAUUUUUCAAAAUAUUUUUUUUAUUUUUAUACAUAUAUGCAAAAUAUUUUUUUAUUCUAUAAAUUAUAAUACACACAACACACACACACACACAUAUAUAUAUAAUUCACGUCCUGCGUGAACAGUAGGACGUGAAUUAUAUUUCACGCCUACUGUUCAUGCAGUGAACAGUAGAAAGAAGAAGAAGGAGAGAAGAAGAAGAAGAAAGGAGGAGGAAAGGAAAAGGAAGGAGGAGAAAGGAAGAGGGGCUCACUUGGCCGAAGAGGUUGUGGCUGCUGUGAUGAGGUGGUUCAGCCGGUGGUUGCAGCGGUGGAGUUGGAGGAAGACGGCGUCGGUUUCCUGUUGCAGAGGAAAGAAAGAAGAAGAAAAAUCUGCAGAAAUUGGGCGAAAAUGCUGGUUUUUGGCUGACUUUGGACCUGAAUUUUUCAACCCUCAGAUCAUCAAAUCCGACUCUAUUUAUAGGCUGUGGAAGAGGGCAAUCUUGUCUACGUUGGGGAAAAAUUUCAGCCCUUGAUUCAGUUGGAAAGCAUCUCAACCGUUGGCUCAAAGUGUGCACCUCGAGCUGCCAAAUUUGGCAGCUCCAGGCUGUGAACUGCCCGAGGUGGCCACUUUGAGCCACUCACCGGAGCCGUUUAUGACUUUUUCGACCCGACCUGAUCAUUCUCCGGGAUAAAGGGGUUUCAUGUGGACAUGUUGGUGUAUGUUGUGUCGGAUUUGGAGGUGACACGAGCCGGAAAACGCGCCUGGAAAGCAGCCACUCAGGCAGCUUUUUGAGGAAGAAAGUGAACAGUAAUUUAAGGCACCUUUUCCAAAUUGGUCCCUAGUUUCGGUUUUUCACAAUUAAACCCCUAAUUGGCCAUUAAACUUCAAUAUUUAUUCAAUUAAGCCCCUGAUUUGGCCUAAUAAAUUCCUAAAAAAUAUAUUUUGGCCCCAGAACUUAAAUUUCUUCUAAUUAAAGCCCAAAUUGACUUAAAAAUUAAUUUUUCUUGCAAUCAAAACUCAUAUAAAUUCAAAUAAAAAUCCAAUCAAGUCCAUAAACAUCCAAAUUUGGGCUUUUUUCCUCAAAAUUCAAAUUUCCUUCUCAACAGGGCUCUCAUCCUUCAAGAAUAAACUGUUAAAAAUCCAUCUUUGUAUUUUUAAACUCCUUGACUGAUUUUUCUGACCAUUUGCUGAGCGCUUCUGCCUCCUGUUAUUUUUCUAACCUCCUUUGGCUAUUUAUUUUAUUUCAUUUAUUUGGGGACCCAAAAAUGGGUUUCAACACCAAGUACCAUUCAUAUUAAUUAGGCCUUCUCUUUUUUCUCGAGGAAAAAAGAAUAGCGAAAAUAAUCCUCCCAUCUCAUAUCUAGGAACCCAAAACAAAGCAAAUUCCUGACAACAUAAAAAGCAUUGCCUAAGCUAAGUCGAGGGAAAGCCUUGUUUAGACUUUAGAGAAUAAACAUAGGCCUAAACUGAAAGGCCUGCUUAUGUUUGGCUAAAUAAAAAAAAAGAUGGGCAAGAGUGUACCACAUCUAAGCGAGUAUGGGAGGCGUCCGAGCCUUUUGGAUAGCGUUUCUUGGUGUCCAAAAAUACCUUUAUGUCGUGUUGUUGGGAGCAUCGCCAUGUCCUUUUUCUACUGGUUUGACGUGUGCCUCUAGUAUGCAUUUUUUCCCAUUAUUUUCUCUUUCCCUGAAAAUUACAGCUUGACUCUCUUUGUUGAUGGUACUUCAAUUUCAGUUUAGUAAGCUUGGGUUGGCUCAACCGAACUGUUCUCUAAUCUAGUUGGCCCCAAGUGCACAACUCUCUGGUCCACGUAAGCCAACCCAAUUAGACUCACUCAGAGUCACCGCCUUGACUUGGUAUCAUGCAAAUUCCUUGCAUUAGCCCACAUCACAAUGUAUUAUUACGAACUCCAAAAGGUCACCAUGGUGCCACGCACCUGCUAGUGCUACCAUAGUUAUCAGACCCGACCUGGGGGUGGAGCCGGCCAAAAAAUCAGGUUCCGGGUUACACGGGUUGACUUGAGUCAACCAGAAUUAACCCGAAAAAAUUAAAAAAAAAAUUAAAGUUUUAAUAUUUCAUAUGAAAAAAUUAAAAAAUAAUUCAUGUGAAUAUAAGCUAUGCAUGUUAUAAAUAAUAAAGUUUAAAAUAUUAUUUCAAAAAGGUUUUUUAUCACACAUUGAAAAGAUAUCAUGUUAGUAUGUUAUCCUUUUAAGUUGAAGUAUUUAAACCAAAAAGGUUUUUUAUCCCACAUUGAAAAAAUAUUUUUUUUCUUAUGAAUAUAAAAUAUAUAUACUAAAGGGCUUCAAAUCAUACAUUAAAAAAAAUAAAAUAUUCUUUUAAUAUUUAUAUAAUAAAUUUGAAAAGAAUUUAAUAAUACGCUUCUUAGUUAAAAGAAGUCAACCAUUUCAAUUGCAGUAUUAUGAGAUCGAUAUACUUAAUCAUCUAUAAUUAAAAAAAUAUAUCAUCAAUUACUGAUUUAUAUUAAGAAUUAGUUAAAACAGAAAAAUUAACAAUUUAUCUACUCAUUGACAGAUUGAUUCAGUUUAUUUUGAUUCCUUUUGUUUUGACAGCAACUACUGAACAAGCUUUUUCAACUAUGAAAAUUGUUAAAACAAGACUUUAUAAUCGGAUGGAAAAUGACUUUCUUGUAAAUUAUUUGAUUGUCUAUAUAAAAAGAAAAAUUGCUGAAAGAUUCAUAAUUGAUAUGAUAAUUGAUGAUUUCUAUUUCAUGAAAUAACGAUGAAUAUAAUUAAAAUAAAUAUAUAAGAAUUAUUUUUUUAUUAUUUUUUACGUUAUUUUAAAGUUUUAUUAAGCAUAAAUAAUGCAUCGUUUUAACUAAUAUUUCUUAUAUAUUUUGUAUGUUUAUAUUUAAUAGGUAUAAAAACCAACAAAAUUAAAAUAAUGAAUAUAUUAUGAAAAUAAAAUUAACUUUAUAGCUUUGACUCAAUUUUAAACCUCUUACCUUAUAUAAAUAUAUAAAAUCAUCAUAUAUUUAUAAUAAGUUCUUUGAAUAAAAUAAUUUUUUUUUUUUUUAACAAUUCAUGCACAACUAUUUUUUCUUUUUUAAAAAAUAUAUCUUAUCAUAUUAAUCAUUUUUUAUUAAAUAAUCCUAGCUCCGUCCUGAUCCACCUGACCUGGGUUUCUCACAUUGUCAUCAGAAGUUCAAGAGAAUGGCAAAACGGCUGAUAUAAGCCAUAGCAGUAGCAGUUUGAAGUCUAGCACAGAGCGUCUACUAAGAUCAUUCUCGAUGCCAGCAGAUGCAGAUGCAGAUGCAGCAGCAAAUGCAAGGGUGAAUGUCAUCUGCACUCGAAGGAAACCCAUUUUCUUGGAGUGAGUGAUGCAAGCAACCAGAUGCGAGUAACUAAAUCAGAACAGCUCCGAUGGUAAGGAGACGCAAAAUGAUCAGUUUUCGCAAGCUCCGUCUCACCAGAAGGGUAUAAAUAUCAACGACGGCCACGGAAAGACUCCAUAAGAUUUGAACACCGACAGCAUUAAGGGUUGCCAAGUGGUAAGCGGCCUGUGUCCCCCAAAGGCGAACCAGCGUUGCCUCUUUUAUGUCUCAAGAUUUGGAUGUAUGUUUUGGUUUUGUUUACAUGGAAGCCAUUUUUUGUUUUGCUUCUUUCACCGAAGAAGACUGCGUCUGCAUUUUGCUCCGUUUCAACCAGGGGACGCAAGAGGAAAUUGGGAUUCUCUAACAAUCUGCCAGAAUUAUUACAGCAAAUUACAUUACAUUAAAAAAAAAAAGGGGGGGGGGGGCUAAAUUGAGGGGAAUGUUUAAGAGUUUGAUAUUAGCUGUUUUUUAAAGAAUUGUUUUUACUUAAAAAUAUAUUAAAAUAAUAUAUUUUUUAAAUUUUUUAAAAAUUAAUUUUAAUAUUAAUAUAUUAAAACUAUUUAAAAACUGGUAGAUUCAUUUUUAUUUUUUUACUUAAAAAUAUAUUAAAAUCCUUUAAUUUUCAAAAGCCAUUUCUUGCAACAGAUCAUGCAUUUCAAGCUUUCCAUUUGAAAUAGUAAUGACGCACCUUUCAGCAAGAAAAAAAACUGCAAUAUUUGUUGAGAAACCACAACCAUCCAGUACUCUCUUCACGUAAUCAAUUUGCUUCCCUUUAAAGAAACACGCAAUAUCAAGAAAUAUGUUCUUCUCUUCAUCACCAAGUGCAUCAAAACUUACUUUCAACAUAUUAUAAAUUUUCAGCUCAGGAUUUCUUUCAAGUUUAUUCAAUGCAUUUUCCCAGUCCUCUUUCCUUAGGUCAAAAAGAAAGGAACCCAAAACUUUAAGAGCCAAUGGGUUUCCUUUGGCAUAAUUUACUGCCCUGAUUGAUAGGCCCAUAUAAUCUUUCAGAAUGUGGUUUUCUUUGAAGACAGUCAAACUCAAGAGUUGAUGAGCUUCACUGCAAUUUAAUUCCUCAACCUCAUAUAUUUCUUAAACCACAUUCUUAAGCACUUGUCUAUCUCUGGACGUCACAAGAAUUCUACUUCCUGGACCAAACAUAUCAUGCCUAAGACAUGUUCAUAUCCCAAGACAUUCUGUAAUAGUCAUUCUGUGGAUUCAAAUUAACAUGCAUAACAUGGGAAGCAAGACAUAUUCAUAUCCUAAGAUUCAAGUCAUGAUAUCAAUUAAAUGAGAAGCUAUCAAUUUAAAAGUCAAUUUAAAAAUAUAUAUUGACUCAUAUGAAGAAUUUAAAUUCAACAAUUGAUUAUUUUUAUUGUAAUAAAAACAAUAAUCAACAUAUAUAUUAUCAAGAAGCAUGAUCUAAUUUGUAUUAAUAAUUCAAAUAUUUAUAAUAUUUAUCAUGCAUAUGAAAAAUUAUUCACUCAUCUGACUCUAAAGCGAACAUAACUUGAAAGCAGAUACUGAAGGAAAUCCUAUUUAAUACAACCUAUUUUGUAGGUAGAAUAUCAGGAUUAUCUUAAUACAAAUAAAACAUAUUAAAAAACGAGUUGAAAAGAAUAUACAACCUAUUUAAUACACUUAACUAAGAGUUUAUUCCAUAACCUUAUAUGUUUUUGAACUAAAUUAGUUAUUUUUUCUAAAAACACAAAAUUAAAUGGUUUUCUUGAAAUUUAAUUCAUAAGAUAAAAAAAAAAUUAUAAGAAUUGAUAAUAAUUCAAUUAUUCAUAAAACCAAUCUGAAAAAAUUAAAAUUACAUCAAGGGACCAAUCUAGAAUUUUAUCAUAUUUUUAGGGGUCAAGUUGUAAUUUUAUCAAAUUGGAGGAUCAAAAUGAAAAGUCAUAAAUUCAUAACUAUACUGGAAUUUUGCCAAUAAUUCAUAUUUAAUUCUGUCAAGAAUCUAGGAUUAUGCUCCAAGGACCAAUCUGGAAUUUUAUCAUAUUUUUAGGGGUCAAAUUGUAAUUUUGUCCAAUUAGAGGACCAAAAAGAAAAUGUCAUGAAUUCAUAACUAUACUGGAUUUUGACGAUAAUUCAUCUUUAAUUCUGUCCAGAAUCUAAGAUUAUGAUCUAGGGAUCAAUCUGUAAUUUUUUAAAGUUCAGGGACUAAACUGUGAUUUUCACAAAUUAAAGGAUCAAAUUGAAAUUUCAUCAUCUUCAACCUCAAACCUAGAUUUUACCACAGAUUACCUACUGAUAUAUCAAGAUUUCUAACUCAAAUUCAUCAAUUAAAUAAAUCAUAACUCAAAAUCAUCAUUUUGAUCUAAAAUCUUUCAAAAUCAACUAAAUAACUUAUUAUCCAUAACAAUCAACCCAUAAUAUUCAAGUUAAUUCAUCAAUCAAAUCCAAAAUAAAAUCUUCAAAACCCUAUUAUCCAACAAAAAAAAAAAGUAAAGCUAAAGAAAACACAUUUAUACACAUCAAAGCAUAAAUCUUACCUUUUAAAUUUAUUUUCUCUAACUAUCUUCUCCUUCAUUUAUCUUUCCCAAUUUUCUCUUCUUCUUCUUUCCUUUUCCUUCUCUCCUGUCAGUUUUUCACUCUCAAUUUUAGAUCCCUCUUUCUUUCUUCAUUCUAUUUAUACUUAUAAAGUAUUAUUCAACUACCAUAAUACUCUUUAUUCAUUUAUACCUACUUCUAAGCCUCCAAGGGCUUUGUUGUCUUUUUCUAUUCUAUUUUGUUUUCAAAACAUUACAUAAUCAUUGUUUUAUAUAAUAUUUUUUGUUUAGAAAUAUAUCAAAAUAAUAUUGUUUUAAUAUUAUUUUUUAUUUGAACACAUCAAAACAAUCUGACAACAUAAAAAAAUAAAAAUAAAAAUAAAAUAAAAUAAAAUAAUUUUUAUUUUCAAAAACCCUUUUGUUGCAAAGACUAACAGGCUUUUAGCUUCAUCAAAGGAUACUUUAUCACAUAAGCUCCUUUAUUUAGCACAAUCGUUUCUUGAGUUUCAUCAAAUGAAAUGAUCUUAACAAUUCUAUGUUUUUAGGCUUCAUAUAUAAUUUCUUCAUGAUAGUGGUUACUACUUAUCACUGGUUAUGUAUGAAGCAUAUCUCUUGUCUCAUGCUCCUCUGACUAACAUUAAAGCUAUUAUUACAUUGUUGGAUACUAAUGUCAAGAUUACUACUAGUGAUGCUACUCCACUUUAUGAUCCCACACUGUAUUGUCAAUUGGUUGAAAGUCUUGCAUUUUAUGGCACUCAUUUGUGCACAUUGUUAUUUAGUUUAUGCAUGCUCCUUGCAACACUCAUUUUGCAGCUAAUUUUUAUAGUUUUAGAGUCUGUUCAGUAUUGUAAUAAUGAUUGAUUUUCAAAGUAUUUUUUUGUUUAGAAAUAUAUUGAAAUAUUUUUUUUAUUGACAUUAAAAUGAUCUGAAAAUUGUAAAAAAUAAUUAAUUUAAAAUAAAAAUAAAAUAAAAUAAAAUAAAUUUUUUUAAAAAAUACUUUUGUUGCAAAAACAAACCGGCUUUUAGGUACAUAACCUCCUUCUUUUAGCACAAUCAUCUCUUGAGUUGCUCACUUAUUCUAGUGCAAAUUGCGUUGAUGAUCCCACGAAUCAUCACUAAGCUAAUGGAUAUUAUUUCUUCCUCAGGGAUUCAAACAUUUCAUAGAAAAAAGAAAAAUAUAUUUACUUCUCGCCCUGGUGUGUGUGUGUGUAUGUAUAUGUAUUUAUAUAUAUAGAAAUAGAACAUCAUGCUUUUACAGAUAUAUGCUCCGAGUAAUUGUGGUUGUGAUAGCUUCGUUGGGAUAUGAGAGUUCAUUUCUCAAAUGCUACAUUGUAUCAUUCUGAUAAUAUUCAAAGUGUUUUUUAAUUUAAAUUUCUCAUAACAAAGUGUUUUAUAAAAGAACUAAAUGUUGGGACCUAUGAUCAAUGCUCAAAAUUAAGAAUACACAAUUUAAGUGUUUUAUGAAAUAUAUGUAUUUUAUUUGUUAUGGUGAGUAAUUUAAUUAGGGUCUUUAUUUUUAAUUGAUAUAAAAUUUUAAUUAAAUGAGCUAUUUCGUAAAUUAAAUUUAUGUUAGCUGUGUGAUUUAUUUGUGGUUAAAAUGGUAAUCUAUGUUGUUGUGAAAUUAAUUAAUUAGAUAGAUAAUUUGUUGGUAGAAAACAUGUUGAUUUUAAGAUUAUUAUUUGUAAUUUUUUUAUGGUUUUAUUUAAAAUUAGUUAUGUUUUUUAAAUGUAAUUUGAUAACUGAACUGCAAUGAAACUCAAUAAAUAGUUACCAUAAGUUGCUUGAUAGGUGGUUGCAAAACGACGACAAAUAUGGUAUUUGUAAGUGUUCUGUUUUGAACACUAUGUUUUGAUUUCAAAGUAUUUUGGCUUAUCAUUUCAGAGUUAUAUUGUUUAUAUAUAAUUUAAAAUAUUAAUAUGAUAAAAAUAAAUUCAAUUCAAAUAUAAAGAUAAACUAACUUGAAAUAAUGCAAUUUAAAUUUCAAACACAAUUAAUGACCUUUCAAAUCCAUGAUCUGGAUCAUGAGAUCAUAAUAACCCCAAAUAAAACAAAUUAUAAAACUCAAUUAUCAAUAAAUCUAUUGUUGAUUAAUGAAAUUGGGAGAAAAACAAUCUUAAAAAAAAGACACAAAAAAUAACAUUUCAAAACAAAAUUAUGAAAAUGUCAUUGAUAUUCUCUCAAAGCCUUUCUAAACUCCUAUUACCUUGAAAGUUUAACCUGAGAUAUCAUAAUAUUAUGAAAAUAUCAUUGAUAGUCUCUCAAAGCUUUCUAAACUCCUAUUACCCUGAAAGUUUAACCUGAGAUAUCAUAAUAUGUGUCGCACCCUAAAAAAUCCUGGCGCGCGUCAGCUGGUGACUUUUCUCGUUGUUGCAUUUGCCUUGAAUUUGUUCGUUGGAGUCGCCACCUAGUAAUUCAUUGAGGGCUACUAGGAAACCUGAUGUACUAGUCUUGUCAGAGAUCGCGAGUAAGGGACUGGUCGUGGUUAGGGAAGGUAUUAGCACCCUAACACACCUUACCUGAGGUAAGCUGCUUUGUGGACUUGAUGUGUUAAAGAAGUUUUAAAAAUUCAGUUCUUUCAUCGAAUUUUAGAAAAUACAACUUACAUGUAAGUUCAUGAUUCUUUAUCCGUGAUUAAAUCAGAAUAUUAAAUUCUUCUUUAUUCUUGCAAUAUAAAAAAAACAUUCAUAAACAAAAUACACACCACAUUCACUUUCAAGCUUCGUGGACUUGAUAUAUUACAAAUAAAAUUUUAGCCAAUUCUAAGGCUUUGAUAAAUCAGUUAUUACUUUUCCAGACUAUAUAUGUAGAUACAUGUUCUACAUUUCCAUGGAAAAUUCAACAUGAUUUUUAUCUGUCCUUUAGAUAUUUGUGCAUAUAAAUUAAAUUCAUUUUUUUAUUUAUUUAAUAACAAUACAUAAACAAAAUUACAAGCACACACAAACAUUUUUUUUUAUUAUUAUUAUCACUCUCUUUCUUUUCUUUUCUUUUUCUUUUACAUCCACAUUUACAUAAAAUACAAACUAUAAAAAAAACCACAAAAUUAACCAAAUAUUACAAUGAAAAUUACAAAACAAUCUAAAACUAUUCAGAACAGUGGUGGCGCGUGGAUCUCACGCACCACCGCCACUGGCGGCGCGUGGGUCCACGCGCCGCCGUGAAAAAAACAAACUGAAACAGGGGUCUGCAACGACCUCCUCCCCCUUUCUUUCCUCGCCGGCGCCGACCUGCAGAUCAAGCAAAGAACGCACACCAGUCGAUUUUAAUUUUUGUUCUUUGUUUUUUUUUUUGUUUUUUUUCAAAUCUGCUUCUCUCUUCCAGCUCCGUUUCUCUUCCUUCGCUGGUUACAGAUCCGGCGAUGGGUCUGUGGGCGCCGUGUCUCAGCUGCUGUUCGCGACUGCUGAAGUGGGCGGCGGUGAGGGAAUGGACGAAUGGCUGAUCGUCAGGCUCCGCUCGAAAUGGCGCUCGAUCUGUGGGUGUCGCCGUUGGGGUUGCCGCUGGAGGGCAGAUCUGCAGACGUUGCUGGAGGAAGAAGGUGGAUCGCUCCGAGUCUGACGGUGGAGCUGCAGUUCGGCCGCCGCUGGGGAAGGAAACCGAAUGGGGAGCAACCGUUGCUGGUGGGGAAGGAGACUAACCCCACGGAUCCAAGCUGGGAGGGGGCAGCGGCUAUCUUCAACAGGGAAAGGGAGGCUUCGGCUGAGGGGAGAAGGCUGGGUUUGUGGAGAAAAAAAAUGACUGGUUGUCUUUGAUGCAGGGAAGACGAUGGAGAGCUGAAAAUUAGAGGGCUGUGGGAGCUAAAUGAUACCAGAACCGGGGAGGGGCGGCUCCGGAUGGGUGAGGGAGAAACAAAAGUUCAGUUUUUCUAGGGGUUUUUCUUUUUUUGUGUUUUUGGUUCCUCUCCCCAAAAUUAUCAAAUGACCCCCUUCUCUCCUUUGAGUUUUCAACCUAUAUUUAUAGGUAAAAUGUUGCCCGGGUAUCAAAAUUGGUCCCUCAACUUUUUUUUUUUUGUAAAUUUGGAUUUUUCUUGUUUUUUUCUUGUAUUUUUAAAAAUGAGAAAAAUCAACAUCAAUUCUAUGAGAAAAAUAAUGAUUUUAAAAUGACGCGUGAAAAGUCGAACGUGUUCGAAAAAACAAUUGAAAAUUAAAAUUCUUUUUAGAAGACGUUGAAAAUGCUAAAAACAUUGCAAAUAUAUUAAAAAACAUAUUUUUUCUUUCUUUUUGUUGUUUUCACUAUUUUUGGAUUUUUCGAAAAAUUUAUUAAAAAGGUGGGUAAAAAAUUGGGUAACAACAGAUGCCCCCUCUUUACAAUGCUUACGAAGCAAAACUCCUCAAUGUUUUGCAUAGUAAGCUUUGUAAAGAAAAGAAAAAGAAAAGGAUCUUAUUAUCUUGGGCGACAUGCCCCUUUUGAAGAAAUGUGGUCUAUUUUCCGGGGCGACCGGCCCACACAAUCACACUGGUCUACUUUCACGGGCGACCUGCCCACACAUACUCAAAGUGGUCUAUUUUCAGAAGCGACCGGCCCACACACUCACACUGGUCUACUUUCACGGGCGACCUGCCCACAUAUACUCACUCUGGUCUAUUUUCAGGGGCGACUGACCCACACUCUCACACUGGUAUGUUUUCAGGGGCGACCUACCCACACACUCACACUAGUCUAUUUUCACAGGCGACCUUCCCUUUUGAUUGGGUUUACCUGAGAUUCCAUCUGGCGAUCUAACAAGAACAAAAAUCGGUGUGUAGCUCGAUCAACCUGAAAUCCCAUCUAGUGAUUCUGCGUGAUUAGGCUAAACUGAGAUCCCUUCGCCGAUCCCCUUUAACCAUAACCAAGGUCUGUGUGGUUAGACUGAACUGAGAUCCCUUCGCCGAUCCCCUUCAACCAGAACCAAAAUCCUUUCCAAUUAGGUUAAACUGAGAUCCCUUUGUCGAUCCCCUUUAACCAUAACCAAGGAAUGUGUGGUUAGACUGAACUGAGAUCCCUUCGUCGAUCCCCUUCAACCAGAACCAAAAUCCUUUCCAAUUAGGUUAAACUGAGAUCCCUUCGUUGAUCCCCUUUAACCAUAACCAAGGAAUGUGUAGGGUUGGGCUAGACUAAGAUUCCUUUCGGCAAUCCCCUCUAACCAGAACCAAAAACCUGUGUGUGGUUGGGAUAGAUUGAGAUUCCAUUCGGCAAUCCCCUCUAACCAGAACCAAAAACAUGUGUGUGGCUCGGUCAACCUGAAAUUCCGUAUGGAGAUUCCCUUUAACCAAAGCUACAUGAUAUCCCAUCUGGCGACCUCAUUAUUGGAACUAAAAAUUGUGUGUAGCUCAGUCAACCUGAAAUCACAUCUGGCGAUUCCCUUUAACCAAAGCUACAUGAGAUCCCAUCUAGCGACCUCAUUUAACCAAAACAAAAGAAUGUAAAAAAACAAAACGGUCUUAUUGUAAUGGGUGACCUAUCCAAGUGGAAAGAAUAUGAAAAAUGGUCUCAUUAUGAUGGGUGUCCUACCCAGAUGGAAUGAAUAUGAAGUGUGGUCAUAUUAUAAUGGGUGACCUACCCAAAUGGAAAUAAUAUGAUGAAGGGCGGUCUCAUUGUCAUGGGUGACCUACCCAGAUGGAAAAAAUGUGAAAAACGGUCUUAUUAUGAUGGGCGACCUACCCAGAUGGAAAGAAUGUGAUAUGACAAGUGUGAAAAAUAGGACUUACCUGGCGAAGUCCUGAGGGGAUGACAGAAGACGGGCUGGAAAACUUGGUGCUUCAUGAUAAUCCCCGAUCAUAGGUUUUGAAAACUCAGUGUUUCCUGACUGCAAGGGUUGAAAACUCGAGGCUUCCCGAUUGCAAGGUUGAUCUUUUCAUUUCUUUGGGAUUUCCCUAAUGGUAGGGUUCAUCCCAUCUUCCCUUUUAUUCCAUGAUCAAAACUGAUUCUUUAUUAUCAUCACCACAAUGCUUCUUUCUUUUUUCACCAUCUUGCUGGACCUCAUUAAGGAUUUUCCUGAUUUGAAAUAUAGGUCCCCCCUUCUUUGAUGCUCCAUCUUCAUAGGGUGCCUUUGUUUGCAUUCCAAAGCUUUCCUUGUUCUUUCGAUGUAUUGGAUCAUUCAUGUGCUAGCCAUCCACUCAGCUAUAAAUGCAGUGCCCAUCCCGGGCUGUCUUCGACAAUUACUGCUCGCAUCGUUCAUCAAGUUCGACCCUGCCCCCAAGUGUGGUGCUGCUCGAUUCAUUAUGAAGGAUUUUCUCUCCUAAAUUCUUUCGAGGAUUAUCCUUUGAUUGAUUGUGUGCAUCAUGCCAUCACCCAUCAAGAUUGUUAACCAGUCUUGAUCUUGCCUCCAGUUGAAAUAGUACUCUUCAAGUACAUGUUAUCAUCAGCCUUCUUGGAAAUCAUCCAGUCGUCCAGACAUGCAUCUCAUAGCUUGCAGUACAAAGGCUCAUGGUUGUAUGCUCAGUGUUCUUCUUAAUAGAUUCACUUCAACUCUUUUAAUCAGUUUGUGAAAAGAAAUGUCUCGGCCUCAUCAAUGAUGCUGCUUUUAUCACCCAUACUCAUGCGGUGAAGUGCUCAUCUGGCUUCAAAACAAAUUGUCCCACACAGUCAGUCUUCGGGGUGGGUGCCUUUCUGACAUUCAUUCAAUGCAGUUGCGUGGUAACGUCUGUCGAUAACCAUGUUUCAAAGGAUGACAAUAUGAGAUUGUCCUUCAAGUGCAGCAUUGUUCCACAGUCAGUCUUGGUGGUGUGCAUAUGUUCGAUGUUCAUUCAAAUGCACUCACCCGAUAACAUCUGUCAGGAGUCAUAGCCAUGUUUCAGAGGGUGACCCAAGAUGAAGAUAUGAAAAUAUCCUUCAAGUGCAGCGUUGCUCAUCAAUUGCUGCUGAAGUUCACUAAAUCAUGGAUUGUCUUUGAACAACAUUGCCCCUAGUUGAUCUGAACAUGCUCAUUCUUCUGUUUACAACCAAAUGGCUUUUGUGAAUGCCAGGAAUGACUUUGAUGGCCUUUGAUGACUCAUUAUGUGAUUCUUUCUUUGCCCCCAGCUGAUCUGGAUACUGUUUGUUUUCCUUCUUAAGGUUCACUGUAUUAUCCCCAGCUGCUCAACUUUUCAAGGAUUGUUGAGGACUUCAAUGUCAUUUCUAUCAACGAUUUUGCAUACUCAAUCAAUGUUCUUCUGCGUUUGAUAAUCUUCCUUGUUCUGGAAUCAACUCUCAUAUUUCAAAGAUCAUGUCUAUUCAAAGUCUAGUUUGUUGAAAUGAAAUCAGAGAUGUCCUUUUCGAAAAUCUUUUGAAAAUCAAGCUUUUUGAUCAAAGACCCAACACAGGUUAUUUCAAAGUAUACAAUCCUUUGAUUUUCAUGCAUUUUGAAAACAGAAAUUGACCCAAUGUAGGAUUAAAAAUGGCUUUUUCCAUGGUUCUUUGUAUCCAUUUUAGACUCGGAUUUUGGGUAUAUCUUUUGAUGGUCUAUGAUGAGGUGACCUUUGCGUGAAUUUCAAAAGCAAGGCACCCAAGUCAACACUUAGGCUUUAUCAAGAAAGAUUAUUUCUUUUCUUAGCACUUGUUUUAUCAGCAUGCAUAAUAACCAAUAGCUUAAUUCAUGAAGUCACGACCCUUAUGGAAAAGCUCUUCAAGUUUUGAGAGUGCCAUUUAUCGGUUCAAAUUGCUUGCUUGAUUAAAAAGGGCUUUUAAAAGCACGUAAUGCAGGAAUCUCUUUUUUUUUAUUAUUAUUAUUGCAAAGUUUAUUUUUAAUAUUAUAAUAUAUGCUAUUUUUUUUAAAUUAGUUUUUAUUUAAAAAUAUAUUAAAAUAAUUUUUUAUUUUAUUUUUUCCAUUAGUAUAUCAAAAUUACCAAAAAAACAAUAAAUAAAACAUUAACUUAUUUUUUAAAAUAUAUAUAUUUUUAAAACGCUUUCAAAAUAAAAUUUACUGUAAUUUCAAACACCUUUAAAUAUCUAAUUUACAUUUCGGCUGUUACUUUUUGAAAUGUAAUCACUUUCUUCGAGAAUAAACAAGUGGAUUUCAAAUUAGUUGUCUAACAAAAACAACAGGAGUGGCCGGCAGAGCCCCAGCCCGUGCAAAAAUUAUUUUUUUCCCUGCCUCUCUCUUAAAUAAUUAUAAAUUUUAGCUCUAGAAUUAUUAAAUUUUAACUCUUUUUAACCCUUUUUAAUUUUAUCCUCCAAUUCUAAUGCCCUGUCUCCACUCCAACCCUGGAAACAGCCUCAAAAAAGUGUAAUACCAUUUAACAGUGCUAAAAAAAUUUAAAAAAAAGACCUAAAAUUAUGUAAGAAUUCAUAAUAAAAUUCAAUAGAAUUGUCAAGCAUCAACUAAAAUAACUGCUGCCCGAGAGACGACGUGGGCCAUAGCUCUUGUCUCAUCUAUAAUUUUAAAUUCUAGCUUGAUUCGGCAGUUAAUUUGAGAUUUUGCUCAUUCGAAAUUAAAACUAGACCGAUUAUAAAAAAGUAAAAAUAAUUAAAAAUCCGAAUAACUCAGCUAACUUAAUGUGUUGAUCUAGUAAUGUGAUUGACUUGACAAGAUUCGGUCAAAAAUUCAAUUAUAAUCCAUUGAUUAUUAUUUUUUUUUAUCAAAACAAUAUCAUUUUAAUUUUAAAAAAAUAAUUAUUGGCUUGAGUGACUUAAUAACCCGGUUAAAAACCAGUGACCCAAACCUUAGGCCAGAUUUGAAAACACUAUCUCAUCUAUGCAUGGCUUGCCUUUUGUUACCUAGUUCAAUAUAUAAAGAAAAUAUUGAAUCUAGUGAACACAACAUUAAAACAAAUAAAAAUGAUAAAUAUAAUAGAUUCUUAAAUCUGAGCUAAACAAAUUAGGAUUUGAAUAUGGAUAAACAUUUAUAAAAUUCCAAUUUAAUUAAAAAGAUCCUCACAGACAUUUUUAUUAAAUUUGACAAUCAUAAUUUAUGAAUACCUCUUUCUUCUGAAUUCAUAUACUUCAUUGGUAAAAGAAAUUAACAUAUUUUAUAAUUUCUUACACUUUAAGUGAUAAACUAUAAUAAAACAUAGCACACCCACACAUAUGUACUCCUGUGUGUGUCUAUAUAUAUGUUGUUAAUAUUAUUAAACAAAGUUAAAAUGAGUGAUUUUAACGUUGUUAUUAUCAUUCUAAAUUACACCUAAUCGAUAAUUUAUUAUUUUUACAAAGGAUUAGUUGUGCUUAAUUCAGAUAUUCGAUACUCAUUAUUUGUUUAUAUAUUUCUUAAAAAAAAUAGUAAAAUAGAAAUAUAUACAAGAUAAUUAAGUUAAUAUUUCAAUAACAUAUCAUAUUAAAGUAUCUUUAAAGUACAAUUGAGAAAAAGAGAAUAUAUAGAUAGGUUUGCAAAAAGUAUAGAUCUUAGAGAGUAAAGAACAGUAACUUGAUUGAAAAACUACAAACCCAUCUCUCCUUUUUUUUUUUUUUUGAAGAUCUUUUAGUAUUUUGAUAACUUUUGUUUGUUUUUUUUUUUCAUUUAUAAAGAAAAAAACAUUUAGUUAGACAAAUAAUCUCUACAUUUACACUUAAUUUCAUUUAUAAAGAUUUAUUUAUUAUUUAUUUUAUUAUAAAAUUAUUUCAUAAUAAUUUUAAUCAAACACAUAUUUUUUUAGAAUUAUAAUUAAAAAUUUUAUUAUUUAUUUAUUUUAUUGCGAGAACAGAAAAGACUAGGAGAUGGGGCCUUACGAAAUCUUCAUCCGAAAUAGAGUUCAAAAAAUUAUUAUAGCUCAGUUUAGUAUUAGUAGCAGCUACUAAUAAUAAUAACAUGAGAGUUAAUUAUAACUUGUUAAAAUGAUAUAUUAAAAAAAAAGAUAUCAUGGAAAUACAUAAUAAAUAUAUUUGAAAAUGUAGAUACAUAUUAGUAUAAUGAAGGUAUUUCCAUUCUAUGCUAACAUUGAAAAGUACAAUAUUAAAAAAAAAAAUGCUUGCAAGAAAAUAAAAGCCUAUCGUCAUUUUAAAAUAUAAUUAUUUAAUCCCUAUGAUUUUAAAUCUAUAAAUAACAUAAUCUUAUUUUAUUAAUUUCAUAUCUUUUUUAUUUUUUUAAUAGAAAUAAAAAUUUAAGUACAUAGGAUGAAAAAACAAACAAAUGAAAAAAGAAGGUAUAUUUCGUUUGCUAAUGACUUAAUUAGCCUUUGUCAAUCCUAGUAAAAAUCAUUAAUUUUGCUAAACUACAAGGUCUAAAUUUUAACAACAACAAUAAUAUACUAAAGUUUUCUCUAAAAGAUAUAUACUUGCACUCAAAGAUAAGUAGGUUUGUUAAAUUAUGCAAAAGGGAAAGAAGAAUACAUUAAUCUUUAAUUGGUACAUAAAAUGAACACCAUCGGUGAUAAAAAUAAAUAAGAGAAUAACCUAAUUGUCAUCUUUAAUUUUUUUUGGACUCGGCAGCAAUUCACCUCACUAUAUCCUUGUCAAAAUAAUUAUUAAAUUAUUUCUACCGUGAAACCAAGUGUUACAUUAAAUAUACCUUCUCAUUUCUCUACGGGCUUGGAACAUUGUUCUCUAGGCUUCCAUUAUUGCUCUAAGGUAUGGCAACCUUGUUCUAUGGGCUUGCAACCAUGUUUCCAAUCCAUGUUUAUCUUUGGCAUCAAGUAGACGAACCCCACACUCGCGUACAUCUAAUGCUAAGAGCAUGCCGUUCAUAUCUUCCGGUUGGAAUUCAACUGAGACCUCAUUAUAUUUACUAAACAUAUCAUUUUCUUUGACAACCAGACAGGGAUCAAAUCCCACAAAUAUGUGCUCUGAGCAGAUGCGCCUCUCAUCAUUCCAACCAUGGAGAUAGCAAUAGAGAUCAUGGCUAUCACCGUGCUCAUUGCUGAAGUGAUAUGUGCAUUUAACUUGCAAACUAUGUUUGAAAUAAUGAAAUGCAAUGACAGCGCAAAGAGAGAAACCCAAGAACUCGCUAUUAGCCCAAUGUGAAGAUAGCUGGCAUGUUACUGUAGAUCCCCAACUUUGAUGGCUAAACCACUCCGGAGUUACAUCUCCAUAGAGGCAGAAACUAGAUACCCUUUUUGAAACAUCGGGCUCCUCCUGUUAACACAAUUUCAAUAGCAUCUUUUUAAAAUGAGACAUGACAAAUAGAGAAGAAAAGAAAAAUACGGUAUAACUCUCCGGAAUAAAGUUGAAAAUCCAAUAAGGACCUCACCAAGAAUUCAUAGGUCCUACGUAUGACAGAAUAAUCCUCCCAACUCAUGCCUUGGAACCCUGCUAUCUUGCCUUGGAACCUUGCUCUCUUGUCUUGGAACAUUGCUUUCAAUGCAUCAUAAUAAUCGUCGAUGCAAUGUAUCUCAUCUUCAUAUAGUAGGCGGACCCCACACUCGUGUACUUGACAAAGAUCCAAUGGUAAUAGAUUGCCAUUCAUAUCUUCCAGUUGGAAUUCAACUGAGACCUCAUUGUAUUCAUUAAACAUAUUCUUUUCUUUGACAACUAGAUAGGGAUCAAAUCCCACAAAUAUGUGCUCUGAGCAAAUGCGCCUCUCAUCAUUCCAACCAUGGAGAUAGCAAUAGAGAUCAUGGCUAUCACCGUGCUCAUUACGGAAGUGAUAUGUGCAUUUAACUUGCGAACUAUGGUCAAAAAAAGAAAAUGCAAUGACAGCACAAAGAGAAAAACCCAAAAACUUGCUAUUAGCCCAAUGUGAAGACAACUGGCAUGUUACUGUAGAUCCCCAACUUUGAUGGCUAAACCACUUCGGAGUUGCAUCUCCAUAGAGGCAAAAACUAGAGACCCUUUUUGAAACAUCGGGCUCCUCCUGUUAACACAAUUUCAAUAGUAUCUUUUUAAAACGAGACAUGACAAAUAGAGAAGAAAAGAAACAUACGGUAUAACUCUCCGGAAUAAAGUUGAAAAUCCAAUAAGGACCUCACCAAGAAUUCAUAGGUCCUACACAUGACAGAAUAAUCCUCCCAACUCAUGUCUUGGAACCUUGCUCUCUUGUCUUGAAACCUUGCUCUCUUGUCUUGGAACCUUGCUUCCAAUGCAUCACAAUAAUAGUCGAUGCAAUGUAUCUCAUCUUCAUACAGUAGGCGGACCCCACACUCGUGUACUUGACAAAGAUCCAAUGGUAAGAGAUUGCCAUUAAUAUCUUCCAGCUGGAAUUCAACUGAGACUUCACUGUAAUCAUUAAACAUAUCAUUUUCUUUGACAACUAAACAGGGAUCAAAUCCCACACAUAUGUUCUCUGAGCAGAUGUGCCUCUCAUCAUUCCAACCAUGGAGAUAGCAAUAGAGAUCAUGGCUAUCACCGUGCUCAUUACGGAAGUGAUAUGUGCAUUUAACUUGCGAACUAUGGUCAAAAAAAGAAAAUGCAAUGACAGCACAAAGAGAAAAACCCAAAAACUUGCUAUUAGCCCGAUGUGAAGACAACUGGCAUGUUACUGUAGAUCCCCAACUUUGAUGGCUAAACCACUCCGGAGUUACAUCUCCAUAGAGGUAGAAACUAGAUACCCUUUUUGAAACAUCGGGCUCCUCCUGUUAACACAAUUUCAAUGGCAUCUUUUUAAAAUGAGACAUGACAAAUAGAGAAGAAAAGAAACAUACGGUAUAACUUUCUGGAAUAAAGCUGUAAAUCCAAUAAGAACCUCACCAAGAAUUCAUAGGUUCUACGCAUGACAGAAUAAUCCUCCCAACUCAUGCCUUGGAACCUUGCUCUCUUGUCUUGGAACCUUGCUCUCUUGUCUUGGAACAUUGCUUCCAAUGCAUCACUAUAAUAGUCGAUGCAAUGUAUCUCAUCUUCAUAUAGUAGGCGGACCCCACACUCGUGUACUUGACAAAGAUCCAAUGGUAAGAGAUUGCCAUUAAUAUCUUCCAGUUGGAAUUCAAUUAAGACCUCACUAUAUUCACUAAACAUAUCAUUUUCUUUGACAACUAAACAGGGAUCCAAUCCCACAAGUAUGUGAUCUGUGUCAAUGUGCUUCUCAUCAUACCAACCAUGGAGAUAGCAAUAUAGAUCAUGGUUAUCACCGUGCUCAUUGUUGAAGUGAUAUGUGCAUUUAACUUGCAAACUAUGGCCGAAAGAAUGAAAUGCAAUGACAGCACAAAGAGAGAAACCCAAGAACUUGCUAUUAACCCAAUGUAAAGGCAGCUGGCAUGUUACUGUAGAUCCCCAACUUUGAUGGCUAAGCCACUGCGGAGAGACACCUCCAGGGAGGUAGAAACUACAUGCCCCUUCUGGAACAUCGGUUAGCUGCUAACACAAUUCAAAUAGCAUCUUUUUAAAAUUAAAAGUGGCAAAUAAAGAGAAAAAAAUAAUUGUAUAUCAGAGAUUUGGGAAACAGACCUGAUGGAGCAUUUCGGUAUAAAGUUGAAAUUUCAUUAAUGAGUACGACAAGAUUUGAUUGCUCCUACACAAGCUUAAGCAAUUAGUGAAAAUGAAUUCAAAAAUGUUCCCCUUAAGCGGAAGCAAUUUCAUCCAACUUUGAUAGCUUGAUCCUAGAUAAUUCAAACUCUCGCAAUUGUCUGCAUCCAACUUUGAUAGCUGUGGUGGAAGCUCUGGUAAUGAUUCAAGUCUCUUGCAAUUCCUUAAUCCUAGAUAUUGCAACUCCAAGAGUUUAUUGAUGCUUAUAGGUAUAGCCUUAAAAUCAUUUCCACUUAGAUCUAACAAUUCCAAUGACGAUAGACAACCAAGACUGUCUGGCACUAUCGAUAAAUGGCAACCAUCUAGAUUUAGCUUACGCAAACAAUCUAAAUCCACGCAUCUCUUGGGCAAUUGCAAGUCAACAAAACAUUCGAUGUCAUUUAGAUAUUUGCAGUUUCCCACUUCCAAGCAGGCAAGUCCCUUCAGAUUUCCAAUCGGUGAAGGCAACUUUGUUAUGCUUGUCUGUUCUAAAUAGAGAUAUCUCAAACAAUACAUCGGCUCCAAAACUUCUGGAAAAUCCCUAAAUUGGAGGCAACCUGAGAGAUUAAGCCUCUGCAGUUUUCUCAACUUGCAGAUGCUGCUUGGAAGAAUCUUAAAUUGUUUGCAGUUUUGCAGGUGCAAUUCAUAAAGUUCACACAAACAUUCAAUUGAAAAGGGAAUCUCUUGUAUUGCUGUCCCAUUUAAAUAUAGCUCCUUUAUAUUAUUGGAAACCUUUGGAAACUCUGUGAUACUUGAGCAACCGGAAAGAUCUAAAUAAAUGAGUUCCCUUAGAUCACCAAUUGAAGAUGGCAGUUCUUCUAUUGCAGUUCCAUUCAAGUACAAGUAUCUAAUAUUCCUCGAAAAGCAGGAACCUGCUGAUAGAUGAGCAGCCAACAGAGAUGUCGACGAUUAGAAGAGAUUUCAACAAAUAUAUGUUUUCUGGAAUAUUCACCAGGUGUUUGCAGUUCUUCAAAUUCAACGCGACAAGUCUGCUGAGUUCCCCAAUUGAUUGGGGAAGCUCUUCAACAGCAGUAUCAUUUAAAUUUAAAUAUGUCAGUUUCCUUGCAGUUUCUGGGCACUUCUUGAUAUUUGAACAACCAGAAAGGUUAAGACUCUUCAGACAUCUUGAAUUAAUUCUACUGGGCAGAUUGAUUAGGCUUGUGCAGCCUCUCAAAUCUAAAUCAUUAAGCUUGUCCAGAUGCUGUAUAGAUAAAGGAAUCUUAACCAAACUGGUACAGAAUUGAAGAUUCACUCUCUCAAGGUUUCUGGCCUUUGAAAGCUCUGGCAGGGAAGUUAUGUGCUCACAAUUGCUGAGGUUGACAUCUUUUAAAUUGACGAGAUUCUGAAGCAAAAUGAAAUCAACAGAAAGAAAUUACACUUCAUACCACACUUAAUUUCAAAGAAAGAACUAUGCAUGCAUAGAGUUCUUUUAAAAUACCUGGUCUGCUCUCCACAGUUGCUUAACCUUGCUAGAUGAUAGGUUAAGUUCAACAAGGUUCUGUGGACGAAAAUUGCAAGGCAAAGAUGUCAAAGGGUAUCCAUCCCAAUGAGGAAGGUGCAGUCUGCAUUUAACUCGAGCUUCAGAAUUAUAAAUUUUUAGCAGUCUAAGUUUAUACAUCCUUUUCAAGGCUGCAGAACUCAACUCAAUUUCUCUUAUUUUUGAAACAUCCAAGAAUAUCCCUUCAACUUUUCCAGUUCCCUGAAAACCAGUGAAGGAGAAACGAAGUUUGAAGUAAGAUUUUAAACUUACUAGUACAACCAUAUUGCAUUGCAUAUGAAAAGGAAAACUUUCGUGUAUAUGAAUCUCACCAGAUUAUUGGUCAACACUUGAUAUACAUCUUUAGGACUCCACAAUCUGCUUUGUCCUCCUAGCUCAUCAAGAGAUUCUUUUCGAACAACUUCAUGGGCCAUUUCUUGCAAAAGAUCAUGCAUUUCAACCUUGUCAUCUGAAAUUUUAAUGAGACACCUGUCAAUGAGAAGACUGAAUCCAAUAUCUGUUUUGAAACCGCAGCCAUCUAGUAUCGGCUUUACAAAAUCAACUCGAUGCCCUCUAAAGAAACAUGCAAUGUCGAGAAAUAUACUCUUCUCUUCACUAUCAAGUGCAUCAUAACUUGUUCUCAACACACUAUGAACUUUUUGCCGAGUUGGUUUUUCAUCCUUGUUCAAUUCACUUUCCCAUUCUUUUGUCGUUCUGCCAAAUAGAAACGAACCUAAGACUUUAAGAGCUAAUGGAUUCCCUUUAGCGUAAUUUAUUGCCCUCACAGACAGCUUCAUAUAAUUGUAUGGGGGCUGAUUAUCCUUAAAUGCAUGCAAACUAAAGAGAUGAAGAGCUUCCUGGUAAUUCAGUCUCCCAACCUCAAACAUUUUGUCUGAAUAUUUCUUAAGGACCUGUUUAUCUCUAGAUGUUAGGAUAAUUCUACUUCCUGGACCAAACAAAUCACAUCCUCCAAGUAACAUUUCAAUUUGAUCUACAUCAUUCACAUCAUCGAAAACAAUCAGAACCUUUUUACGGCAUAUCCUGUCUUUAAUGAAAGGGUGUCCAAUACGUGGAGUGCGAAUAUGUAGAUUUUCUUCCUCUGUUAUUUUAGAGAAAAGUUCAUCUCGCAUACGAAAUAAUCCUCCAUUCUUUUCUGAUUCCUCCCUCACAUUUGCAAGAAAAUAGUGACCUUCAUAUUCCCUUGCGAUCUUGUUGAAAAUCUCUCCGGCAAUGGUUGUCUUACCACUACCACCCAUGCCCCAAAUUCCUACAAAACAAACCUCCGGUAACUGUGUGCAUAAUAAGGCUUCGAUUUGCUUCAUGCGUGAAUCCAUUCCAACCAGGCCCUUCAAAUCACUUGAGGAUGCAUAAUUCAAUUUCUUCAAAAUAUGAAGUACAAUUUGUUCCACGAGUCUCGACUCAGGCCUGCCAACAUGGAGGCGAACAGAUAUGUCAAAUAGUACCCCAAGGAAACACAAUCUUUUCUUGAGGUUGGAACUUGUGUGACGGAUUCCAAUUGCCAUACAUUAUAACACCACAUACUUUAAACUGCUCAUUUGGUAACAUUUAGAAGUCACAUAACAUAUUAUAAAGCUCAAAACAUAUGCUUCUGAAUCCAAAAAUAUGAUUAUCAACUUCAAGAAAUUUUAAUUGCUAUAAAUAAAUUUUAAUUGCUAUAAUUCCAGAAAAAAAAGGUUGCAGAUGAGAAUCUAUAGUUACCUAGUAACCUGUGAAUCCCAUCCGGAUAUAUUGGCAGCACUUGUUAAGUCAGCUCUCCACCUUGGAACCUUGUCCAUCUUCUGCUUAAAAUUUCUUUCAAGCUCAGCAAACGCAUUCCCAAAACUCCCUGUCUGUUCGUCAACAUCGGACGGGUCCACAUGAUAGAAAACUGGUAAAACAAUCUGCCCGUAUGCCUUCUUGCAUUCAAGUAUCUUCACUAGUUCAUCCACACACCAUGGAGAAGAUGCAUAGUUUCUUGAGAAUAUUAUCACUGAAAUUCUCGAUUCUUCAAUUGUUCUCAGAAGUGCACCCGUAAUUUCUUCUCCUCUUUCAAGCCCGUCGUCUAUGAAGGUCUUGAUUUGUUUACCACACAGAGCAUCAUAGAGAUGGCUAGUAAAAUUAUUGCGCGUAUCCUCGCCUCUAAAACUAAGGAACACAUCAUACCUCCUUUUAUGAGCAACAGCAGAUGAAGAUGCCAUAUCAGACUGUUACAAGAUCGUGUCUUCCUCAAUCACUAAGAAUCGGAAUCAAUAAGUGCUCUCCUUUUUCUCCUAAAGACAUACAAAGCACCCACUUCAACAGCUGAACAUUCAUUAAGAGAAAUUGAAGUCUAAGAGUACAAGAACCCACACAACAUAUAUUUAUCAGAAAAUUUCUCAAACUCUUAACGAUGGAUAUAUACUAGCAUAAUUUGAUACGAUCUAUCUUAGUUUGAUCACUCGUCACUUGCUACAAAUGCUAGCUUGAUAUUACUUUCAUCAAAAGAACAGUCACUAGCUGAGCAAAAAGAAUUACAGAUGGAAGAAUAAAUACGUUAAUGAAUCAAACUUAUCAAACUCGUAUAUAUAAUCUUAAAUAUAGAAGACAACAUGAACCAGAAAGACUUACCAACAGAUCAUAAGAACAGUUGACUUGUGUUUUGCAUCAGCAAACAAGACGAAGAAGAAGCUGCAUAUUGUUUAUGAUAGAGACGAUUUUUCUUGUCUAUUGCCUUCUCCUACUCCAUCAAGUAAAUUCUUACCAACAGAUAUCUCAUCGUUAUCUAAAUGAAAUAUGUGGAUGUGAGAAGACUUUGGGGUCAUUAGCCAAUGGACUUGUCAUGGCAUUAUGUUUUUUUUUCUUUUUCUUUUCUUUUCUUUCUUAGUGCACAAUGGAUGGGCUUCCUAAAGUAAUUUGUUUGGGUCUUCCAAACCAAAAUCUUAACCCAUUUCAACCUUUCUUUUGGGUUGUGCAAACAAAAUAAUUUUGAAGAUGUCUGUCAUUUAACAUAAUGCUGGAAAUAUGUAUUGUGUCGUCAUUUUCAUAUUUAGAUUAACGAAGUACUAAUGUAAAAAACUAUUUAAAAAUAUACACCAACUUUACAAAAAUAUAUAUUUUAUAAUUGAUGGUAAAAUAAUGUUUAUUUCAGCUGGUAAUUCCAUUAAAUAACUUGUACCAUCCAGUUUUAUAAUUUAAUUUAACUCUCAUUUUCCUAAAGAAAAAAGUAAGUGAUUUGUUUUAUGAUUGAUCUUGAUUAUUUUGUUUUCAUGCAUAAGCAUGAGAUUCUCAAUAUAGCAUGAAAAUGUUUAAUCUCUUAGUUAAUGUUCUGUUUGAGAAAGUAAAAUUCAAUUUUAUUUAUUUUGUUGUUACACAUUUUUGGGUUAGCAUACAAAAAAUAUAAAAAAAAUACAUAUAAAAAAUAUAUAUUCGAAAGAAAUCCAAAAAAUAGUUGGAGUGAGAAAACGAUGUUGGAAUGCCCACAAAAUAGUGAGAAAUGGAUUGAGGAGGUUCAAAAAUACAAGAAUUGAAAUUUUGACAGUAUAUUUUUACUGAUGAGAGCCCUAGGGACAAGGAAAAUUCAAUUUGAGAAAGAAAAGUACAAAAUCAGAUGUUUAUGGACUCAAUUAAAAUUUAUCCAAGGUUUAAUUGAAUUUAGGGAGGGUUUGAUUGUAAGAAAAAUGAUCUUUUAAGUCAAUUUAGGCUUUUAUUGGAAGAAAUUAAAGUUCUAGGGUCCAAUUAUAAUUUUGAAGGGUUGAUUUGGUCAAAUCAAGGGCUUAGUUGCAUAAUUAUUGAAGUUUGAUGGCCAAUUAGGGACUUAAUUGAAAUAAUCCGAAACCAAGGAUCAAACUAGAAAAGUCAAUAAAAUUAAGGGACCUAAUUACAAUUUUUACGGGGUUUGAUUACAAAAUUGCAAAAAUUUCAAUGACCAAAUCAGAAGAAUCCAAACGACACCAUUUCCAUUGAAGCACUAUUCAUUGUCUUUUUAAACAUGGCAGUUGUGGCGUUAAAGGUAGGAGACGUUAGUAGCGAUAAUGGAGCUGCUUCAAUCAGGGGGCAUGUCUCACGCCACCAUGUACACUGGCCGUUACUCUAUUGCCGGAUAAUGUCUGCAUCCUCUGGCUAUAAAAGCCAGAGGAAAGAAGCAGCCAGGAAAAAAAAAGAAAAGGAGGAGAAAGGGAGAACGAGACAGCAAAAAAAAAAAACAAGAGAGGAGAGGUGACAGUGAGAAGAAAACAGAGAGGGAAGAGAGGGGAGCAGAACAGGUGGGCAACACAGGAAAAAGACAGACACAAGACAUAGAGGAGGAAGAAAAGAGAGGGUGGGAAAUAUUUUGAAAAAGAACGAAAAACAGAGACCAAAAGGAGAAGAACUAGAUAGAAGCAGACGAGGAAGAAAAAACAGAGGUUGGUGUCUCUGCAUGGGGAAGAAGAAAAACUACAUCACCGUCAUAACCACCGUGACCCAUCGUCAUCUUCCUCUCCACUGCCACCAGCAUCACUGUGAGCAUACACCAUUACCAUCGUCUUCGACAGCGUUUCCGCCACCAGGUUUGUUCUCUUCGUCUCUGUGCAUGCAAUUCUAUUUUUGCAUUUUCACUGUUCAAGUGAAUUAUAAUUCAUUUAAACAAUAACUAUUUCCAUUUGCAUAAGCAUGCACGCUUAAGCAUGCCUUUUGUUUCCCUAGCCGGGUCAUUGGCUUGAGCUAGUGACCCAGUUAGGCCUGUUGGGUCCAGCCCGAAAAAAAAAUUUCUUCAAAAACAAUUUAUUUCAAAAAAAUCUAUGAUUUUCCAAAUAUUUUUAUAGUAUUUUGAUCAAUAUUGGUUUGUAUUUUUAUAUUGUAAAGAUACAAAUCCAGUAUUAAAAUUAAAAAAAAAAUUGUAUUUUUAUGCAUACGACCAAGUCUCUAAAAAACAAAUCAUAUUGUAUUUUCAUAUAACAAAGAAAGUUUCAAAAAAUAUGUAUUAACAUGCAUUUUAGCUUUAAUAACUAGUUUAUUAAAGUUACGAGAACUAGGCCACUAUUUCAAAAAUUUCAAAAAAAAAUAUUUUGUUUUCUUUUAAUAUCUAGGGUUACGACCUUAUACGUAGGACAUAUUCUGGAUAUGAAAUUAUCUAUUGAUGUUAGGAUGGUUAGGUUUUACCCAAUAAAAUAAAAAUAUCUUUAUCGAAUAGAAUUUUUCUUAAACCAUAGACGGACCAAAAACUAGAAAACACAACAAGACUUUAGAUUUUAUCAAACAAUAAAACAAUGCAGUUUACCUUAGGUAGGGUGUAUUUGGGGUGCUAAUACCUUUCCUUUAUGCAACCAGUCCCCGUACCCAAUCUCUAAGACUAGUUAGGGUUCCUAGUGACCAAAAUACUAGGUGGCGACUCUCAUUCUAUUUUUCCACUAAUAAAAGACAAGAACUCCUUGUCUCCCCGUAUUUGCCAGAUAAAUAUAUAAGAGACAUUUUGAGGGUGGAUGUUUUCGCUACGACGCCACACAUGUGCGAUAUAUUUCAUAUAGUUAUUGAAGAUUAAAGAAAUACUUAGUUUUUUUUUUUUGGUGAAAUUAGGGAUUGAUUUGUGUGGUUAGGGGGAGCUCAUAUCCUAUUUUUUAUUUCGGUCCCUCAAUUAUUAUUUUUAAUUUGAUUCCUUCAUAUUGGCUUCUUUUAAAAUGAAUUAGAAAAUACUUUUAAAUGUUUGCUUAUACCAUGAAAAAUAUAUUGGAAAAUAACCCAUUGAUGUUUUAGUUUUUUAAAAGUUUACUAAAAGAAUAAGGACCAAAUCUGACAAAUAAAAAGUUGAAGAAUAAUAAAAUUAAAAAAAAAUUAUUUUCAUAAAUUAUUUCAAAUAAAACGAAUAGCAAUAAAAAGAAUAAGGAUCAAAUUUGACCGAAAAAAACAUUGAAAGAUGAUAAAAUGGUAUUUAUUUAUUUUUUAAUUUCAUAAAUUACUUCAAAUAAAAUAAAUAAUAAUAAAAAAAUCGAAACCAAAUCUAACAAAUAAAAAAGUUGAAAGAUAAUGAAAUUAAAGAAAUUAAUUUCAUAAAUUAUUUUAAAUAAAAACAAUAGAACAAAUCUAAUAAAUUAAAAAUUAAUUAAAAAAAUAAUAAAGUUUGAAAACACUUUCAUAAAAUAAACUACAUACUGAAGCAGAGAGAUUUUAAUUUAUUUAUCAUACAUGAUGCAUGGCUUCAUAUCCUAACGUGUGUCUUGUUUGGAAAGGUUAUUCGAACAUAUGGAAGAAGGAAGAUUUUGAGGGAGAUGGAUUGUGGAAACUUAAUUAGUUGAAACACAAAGACUGCUUGCUUGAACUGGAGCUAGGGUUUUGAUGAUGACAUAACGCCAUGAUCAUCACCAAUCAAGUGAAAUAAUGGAGGGCGAUAAAAAGCAGAAAUUAUGGUGGGGACUUUUCUUAUUGGAUGGAAAGAAAAGUUAGGUACCUCUCAGUUUAGAAAGAUACUACUGGAUUAUCAACACGUGGACAGUUCGGUUACAUUUUAGCCAUUAGAAUAUGUAGCCAUUCCCAUCCAUGCUUUGAUUAUUGUUUAACAAUAUAUUAAUUAUCUUCGCACAGCAGGUUAUAUGGUGUUUUUAAUUUUUUUUAAAAUCUAAAAUGUUGAUCUGGUAGUUAAGGGAGUUUAUUACUUUUUUUUUCUUUUUUUUUUAUCAAAACUUAAUGCGCAUUAUCUGUUACGGGUUGAGGAUUCCUUCUAGUUCCAUUCUUUAAACUUAGAUUCAUAUUUUUUAUAUAGAAAUAUGUGAUCAAGGAUGUAACAAGAUUCAUUUUGCAUCAUAUUUAAGCGACUCCUUGAUUCGAGCUGAAAAAACAAUAUCAUUAUCAAAAUAAUUGUAAAUUUUUAUGUUAGUGAAGAUCCCACUAGAACACCUUUUACUUCCACUUCCAAUAGACCAUAAACUAGAUCAAAAUCAUUCUCAAUAAAUCUAUAAUAAAUGAUUUUAUUUUUUUCAUCGGGUCCGGGUAGAGACCAAAAAUUUUGAGCCAUCCAUCAUGCAAAAUAACUCUAAAGAUAAAGAAAUAUCAUUAAUUUCUUCACGCUCAUUCAAAGCUAGAAGUAUCAUUUGUAUAAAUAAAAAUCCCCUUAGUGUGUGUGUAUUAUUUGUAUAAAUAAAAAUCCCCUUAGUGUGUGUGUGUGUAGAAUUUAUGGGCAAUUACUUAGAAACAAGAAUUUAAUGUGUGUUUGCUUCUCGAAAAGUGGUUUCCGGAAAAUUAAUUUCCAAACUUUUCUAUAUAUAUAUAUAUAUACACACACACACACUAUCGUAAUAAUAACAACAAGAAUAAUAAUAUAUUAAAGUUUUCUCAAAACGAUAUGCACUUGCACUCUUUUAGCCUUGAGUCCAAAGAUAAGCACGUUUGGUCUCCAUUACAUCCAUCAAAGUUCGAAUUUUGUCAAAUUUUGCUAAAGGGAAAGAAGAAUACAUUAAUCUUAGAUUGGUACAUGAAAUGAACACCAUUACUGAUUAAAAUAAAUAAAAGAAUAACCCAAUUGUCAUAUUUAAAUUUUCUUGAACUUGGCAGCAAUUCGCCCCACUAUAUCCUUGUCAAAAUAAUUACUAAAUCCAAGUGAAAAAUGAAUUAUGCCUUCGAAACCUUGCUCUCUUAGCUUAGAACAUUGCUUCCAAUCAAUCUCGAUCCAUAUCCAUUAUUUGCUUUUUUAUACGACAAUAAUAACCUUAUGUAACAAUGUCAAAUGUGCACGAGGUGCACACUUCGGCAGGCUAUCCAAAACAGUGCUUGACGGUGCUGACAACCAUACCAACAGUGGGAUAAAUCGGCAGCGCAGAUUGUUGACAAACAUGGACUGGACAAUGGACUUUCCAGGCCAAGUAGGAAAACUCGUUAGGGGGAUAGGCUGACGAGAACUGGGGCUAUUGUGGAAUUCGGCAACGCAGACAAUGGCAUCCUGCACACAGAUGUGAAUUCGGCAGCGCAGGAAUUGGCAGCCUGCAUGUAGAUGCGAAUUCGGCAAUGCGCAAUAGCUUGUGCAAGUCGUUGAUACGACUUGGCACGAUCUAAAGCUUGGAUGAUGAACUAUCCAAGGCAUGCGAGAAACUCAAUAAAUGACACAACAAGAACUGGCAGUUGGGGCUGCCAGGUGGACAUCCAGAAUAUGGGUUAGUGGCAGUUAUGGAUAUCCAGGAUCAUGGGAUCAUGGGGGCUGAAAACGUGGGGGCUGACCAGGGGUUGCUCUCAACUCACUAAGAUCAUGGGAGAUCAUGGGGGAAAACUACCCACUACUUGGUAGAUAAUGGGGCCACUAUGUUCAUGGGUGAACAUGAGUGAGAUAGUGUCCCACUACUUCCUUAAAAGUAGGAAUGAGAGUUGUGCCUUGUAAAUGCUUGUCUAUAAAUAUUAGCUGCAGCUCUUAGUUGAUAGGAGGCAUGCGUGGGGCAUGUUCAUCAUGCAAGAAUAUGCAAGAACAUGUAGAGUACAAGUUAGAGAUAGCUUGGUGUAGCAUGCAAUCUUUGUGCAUAGCACACAUAUAGAUUUGUGUAUAGUCUGCUUUGUGUACGAGAUUAAUAAAAGUAGGGGAAGAGUUCCUGUAAAGCUUGUUGUGCACUUUGAUUAUCUUAUUCUACUUGUGUAUUCUGCUUGCUUAGUUACUAGGCAAAAAUGAGUGGGAUUGGCGAGGGGAGGCUGAGUCUAGUGAGGCACUAGGUUGCCGUAUGGGUUUAUUCGAGAGUGAAAAAUUACUACCCCAUGACACCUUCCAUGAUGAACUCAAAGAAAUGUAUCUCAUCUUGAUACACUGGACAGACCCUACACUCGACCACUUGACAAUGAUUUAAAGGUAAGAGAUUGUCGCUCUUAUCUUCUAGUUGAAAUUCAACUAAGACCUCACUAUAUUCACUAAACAUGUAAUCUUUUUUGGCAACCAGACAGGAUCAAGUCCCAUGAAUAUGUGAUUUGAGUCGAUGCGCUUUUCAUCCAAACCAUGGAGAUAGCAAUAGAGAUCAUGGCUAUCACCAUGCUCAUUGCGAAAGUGAUAUGUGCAUUUAACUUGCAAACUAUGGCUCACAGAAUGGAAUGCAAUGACAACGCAAAGAUACCAAAGAACUUGGUAUUAGUCCAAUGUGAAUAUAACUAGAAUGUUACUGUAGAUCCCCAACUUUGAUGACUAAACCACUCCGGUGGUAGAAACUAAAGCAAUUGACACUACAAUAUUAUUGUAAUAGAACUCACACUUUUCCAUUCAUUUCUUGUAUUCUUUAUACAGCCCUGAGAGUUUAAUUUUAGGGAUCCAAAUAUGUGUAACAGACGAAUAUUUACAAUCAAAAUCAAUAGCAAUAUUUACAGGGAUAAUAGACUGAUCCUAUCGUUAUGGAAAACACAAAAUCUAGCAUUACUCAUGGUGACAGCUACGCUUGAAUUGGCAGUAAUUUGAAUUAAUCAGUUUCCUUGAUAUGCACCCACAAGAACGGGCUACCAUCGGAUAGGCCGAUCUUGUCAUAUAGGAAGUUUGUUCGUUGCCUUGAUAGAGGCUUGGUGAGCAAAUCAGCUAGUUGGUCAGUUGUGUUGACAUAUUGAACAGUAAGAAUAUUUUUCGCAACCAAAUCUUGCACAAAGUGAAUAUCAAUCUGUAUGUGUUUCAUCCUGGAAUGCUGAACAAGAUUAAAACUCAAUUGUGUUGCACCUAAAUUAUCAUAUAAGAUAAGAGGUGGUUGUGAUAGACUAAACUUAAGUUCUUGGAGCAAUAAUAGCAGCCACACGGAUUCUGCUGCAACCAUUGCUAAAGCCCUAUACUCGGCUUCAGUUGAUGAUCUUGCAAUUGCACUCUGCUUUUUAGAAUUCCAGGAAAUUGGUGUGUUACCAAGGAAUAGGAGAUAGGCUGAAGUGGAUUUCCUGUCGUCUAGACUACCAGCCCAAUCAGCAUCCAAGAAACAAGUCAAUGUGGUGUUGGAUGUUUUGCUGAUAGUAACACCAUGAAAAAUAAUGUUCUUCAAGUAGCACAACAAUCUUUUUGUUGCUGUCCAGUGAGUCUGCGUGGGAUGAUGCAUAAACCAGGAGAGUUUAUUGACAGUAAAGUUGAUAUCAGGUCAUGGGAGGACAGUUAUUGCAAGGCGCCAAUAACUUGACAGUAUUCGGUGGAGUCAACAAAGGAGGAACCAUCAUCCAGUUGUAAGGAAAUCGAUGUUGAAAGACGCGUGGUGACAUCCCUAGCACCGUCCAUACUGGUCUUGGCAAGUAAAUCUCUGAUAUACUUGUGCUGAGUGAGAAACAAGCCGUUUGCAGUAGGAAUAACCUCAACACCAAGGAAAAAAUACAGUGACCCCAGAUCCUUGAUGGAAAAUUUCUGUCCAAGAUGAUCAAUGAUGCUUGCAACAAAAACUGAAUUAUUGCUUGUGAUAAUCAAAUCAUCAACGUACACUAGACAGUAGGCAAGAGUGGAACCAAUAUAAAACACAAAUGGAUUUUGCCUAGUAGAUGGUGAAGGAAGGGAACUGUUAUGAUCUGGGUUAUGAAAAGGGAACGACCCUUCAUAAGAAAUUACGUGUCGAGAGGUGAUGAUUUUUGUGAUAGAUAGCUCAAAACAUAAAUAUGCAUUUUGGGAUAAGCUGUAACCCAUGAAUGUGCAUGGUUUGGAUUUCGGCUCAAGUUUAUGUUUAUUAUAUGGUCGAGUUAACGAAUAACAAAGAUAGCCGAAUUGUUUGAGCUUGAGGUAGUUGGGCUUUUGAUUGAAUAAUUUUUCAAAUGGAGAUUGAUUAUUCAAGGUAGCGAUGGGCAUGCGAUUGAUAAGAUAGGCAGUAGUUUGAAAUGCAUAAGGCCAAUAAGAGGGAGGCAUGUGAGCAUCAGUAAGUAAGGUAAGACUAGUUUCAACAAAAUGGCGAUGUCACCUUUUAGACAUACCAUUUUGUUGGCGAGUGUGGGGAGCAGUAGUGUAGUGACUAAUUCCAUUGACAAAAAGAAUAGUUUUAAGGCCAAUAUAUUCCCCACCAUUAUCAGAAUAAAGACAUUAAUUUUUGUGUUGAAUCGAUUUUCCACAAGAUUAUGAAAUUGUGGAAAAAUGGUUUGAACAUUUGAUUUAUGUGGCAUGGGAUAGAGCCAAAUAUAUUUGGUAUAAUGGUCAACAAAAAUAACAUAAUAUUUUGAGCCAUUAAUUCCAAGAUCAUGAGAUGGGCCCCAAACAUCCGUGUAAAUCAAUUCAAUUGGAGUAGUGCUAAUAAGUCCAUGAGUACUAAAUGUUUGACGAUGAGCUUUGUUUUGAGAGAAUGAAGUGCACAGAGAGGAAUGAUCAUUUUUAUUGGUAGAUAAAGAAAAAGCAUGAAUGAGAUGAUGAACCAAUUUGGAUGAAGGAUGCCCAAGAUGUUUGUGCCAUCCAUCACGUGUAGUACGUUCAUGAACAUAGUCAAUAAUAUUUUUCUUGGUGGAUGGUAGAUGCUUCGAAAAUGGGUACACUCCAUCUUCACAUUCGUCUUUGAGAAGUAUUGCCCCUGUGAUCCGAUACUUCACCAAAAAAUAAGCAGGAUGAAAUUCAAUGUAAACAUUGUUAUGCUUGGUAAAAUGGUGAACAAAAAUGAGAUUUUUAUGAAUGGUUGGAACACAAAGAGUGUCACGUAAAUGAAAGACAUGAUUGGACGAUUUAAGAGAUAAGGAUCCAAUAUGAGACACAGGCAAACCUGAUCCAUCACCAAUUACCAUCUCAUUAGUACCAUCAUAUUCAGAAUUAAUCAUCAGAUUAGAGAGAUUAGUGGUCAUAUUGUGAGAUGUUGCUGAGUCAACUAGCCAUUUGUGAUUUUUUUUAUUGAGAGGAAGCGGCAUAGUUUGCAGUAAAAUCAGAAGUAGACAUUUUGGGACAUGAUUUUGCUGUAUGACCCAAUUGAUCACACCAUUGACAUUUCGGUUUAAACCUGCUGUGACUCGAAUUGAAUGACAUGUUUCUAUGAGUCCCAUUGUGUCCACGAGAGUUAUGAGAAGCAACCAGGGGGCGCCAUUUAGGCUGUCUGGAAUUAGAAGAAAACUGAGGGCUCCAUCAAUUUGAGUUAUUAGCAGUGGGUAUAAACGGGGUUGCAGAUAGGUGCUCAAGUCAACGAAGAUAACUCUCAUGACUGAUAAAAGGAUCAUGAAUUUCUUCAAAUUUUAGAGAGGUCUCACAGGCACGAAUAGGAGCUGCAAUUUCUCUGAAUUCAAUACCCAAUCCAUUGAGUAUGUAUAGAGUUAAAUCAUCAUCUGAAAUUGGAUGAUCAAUGAUUGCUAGUUCAUCAGCAAUCACUUUGAUUCCAUGAAGGAAUUCAGUAACAGUGCGAGACCCACGAUUGCUUAAGGUUAAAUCUUCUUUGAGUUGCAUCACACACGUUCUUGAUUGCCCAUAUAUAAAUGGGUAAGUGUUGUCCAAGCCUCAUGGGAUGUAGGCAACAAGAAGAGGGGUAAUGGUUGUGGAGGUAGGGGCGAGGAUGGCAUGUAAGAUGAGUUUGUCUUGGCAAAUCCAAUGGGAAUUCGCAGCUUUUGAGGCAGUGGAAUUCAGUGCAUCAAUGGCAGGGCAUUUAUGUAUACCUGUUACAAAAUCAAUAAGGUCAUAGUUAAUGAGUAAGGCUUCAAGUUGAGCCCUCCACUGAGGAAAAGUAGAGGGGAUGAUUUUUUCGUUGAUGGUUGUGGCAGCAUUGAUUGUGAUGAUGGGUGAGUUUGGUGAGUCGGUGGUACAUGCAGAGAUGGUUGUCAUUUUGCAGGAAGCAGAAAGAAGGAAGCAAGAAGAAUGAAUACUCGUUAGAGAUUUUCAAGCUCUGAUACAAUAAAGCAACUAACACUGCAAUAUUAUUGUAAUACAACUCACACUUUUCCAUUCAUUUCUUGUAUUCUUUAUAUAGCCUUGAGAGCUUAAUUUCAAGGAUUCAAAUAUGUGUAACAAACGAAUAUUUACAAUCAAAAUCAAUAGCAAUAUUUGCAGGGAUAACAGACUGAUCCUAUAGUUAUGGAAAGCACAUAAUCUAGCAUUACUCAUGGUGACAGAUACGCUUGAAUUGGCAGUGAUUUGAAUUAAUCAGUUUCCUUGAUAGAAACUACAUACCCUUGUAACAUUGGGCUUGAAUAAGGAGACAAAUAGAGAAGGAAAGAAUUCAUAAUAGAGGUUUGAGAAACAGGCCAGAUGAUAUAACUCUCUGGAAUGCAAUAAGGAGCUCGCCAAGAAUUCAUAGGUCCUACACAUGGCAGAAUCAUCCUCCCAUCUCAUGCCUUGGACCCUUGCUCUUUUGGCUUGGAACAUUGGUUCCAAUCCAUCACGAUCCUGAGGAUAAAAACAAUAAUAGUCUUGCAUGAUCAAAUCAAAGUAAUGUAUCUCAUCUUCAUAUAGUGGAAGGACCCCACACUCAACCACUUGACAAUGAUUUAAAGGUAAGAGAUUGCCGUCCAUAUCUUCGAUUUGGAAUUCAACUGAGGCCUCACUGUAUUCACUAAAACUUUCAUUUUUUAUUGCAACAAAACAGGGAUCGAAUCCCACAAAUAUAUGUUCUGACUUGAUGCACUUUUCAUCAUACCAGCCAUAGAAAUAACAAUAGAGAUCAUGAUUAUCACCAUGCUCAUUGUGGAAGUAAUAUGUGCAUUUAACUUGCAAACUAUAUAUGGCUGACAGAAUGGAAUGCAAUGACAGCGCAAAGCGAGAAACCCAAGAACUCGUUAUUAGCCCAAUGUGAAGAAAUUUGGCAUUUUACUGUAGAUCCCCAACUUUGAUGCCUAAACCACUUCGGAGUCAUGUCCAAGGAGACAGAAACUACAUGCCCCUUCUGGAACACCGGGCAGCUGUUAAUGCAAUUCAAAUAAAUCUUUAUAAAAUAAAAGGUGGCAAAUUGAGGGAAAAAAAAGAUGUAUAUCAGAGGUUUGAGAAACAGACAUGAUGGUAUAAAGUUGAAAUUUCAAUAAUGAGUACUCCAAGAUAUUUUGAAUGGCCUCAUGCAACAACCUCCAGCAAUUAGUCAAAAUGAAUUAAAAAAUGUUCCCCUCAACUACAGUUGAUCCGCUUGAUACUGUUCUUAAUUCCUGGCAAUUGUGUGCAUCUAACUUUGUUAGCCGUGGUGGAAGCUCCGAUAAUGAUUCAAGUCUCAAGCAAUUCCUUAAUCCUAGAUAUUGCAACUUAAACAGUUUAUUGAUGCUUAUAGGUAUACUCCUCAAAUUGUUUCCACUUAGAUCUAACACUUCCAAUGACGAUAAAAGACCAAGCCUGUCUAGCACUUCCGAUAGACUGCAACCAUCAAGAUUUAGCUUACGCAAACAAUCUAAAUACACGCAUCUCUUGGGCACUUGCAAGUCAACAAUACAUUCGAUGACUUUUAGAUAUUGGCAGUUUCCAACUUCCAAGCAGGCAAGUCCCUUGAGAUUUCCAAUCGGUGAAGGCACCUUUGUUAUGCGUGUCUGUUCUAAAUAGAGAUAUCUCAAACAUACCAUCGGCUCCAAAACUUCUGGAAAAUCCCUAAAUUGGAGGCAACCUGAGAGAUUAAGCCUUUGCAGUUUUCUCAACUUACAGAUGCUGCUUGGAAGAAUCUCAAAUUGUUUGCAGUUUCUUAGGUGCAAUUCAACAAGAUCAGACAAGCAUUCUAUUGAAGAGGGAAUCUCUCGUAUUGCUGUCCCAUUUAAAUACAGCUCCUUUAAAUUAUUUGAAACCUUUGGAAACUCCGUGAUACUUGAGCAACCAGAAAGAUCAAGUUUUUCAAGACAUACUAACUUAGAAACCGCACUCGGCAGAUUCUUUAGCCUGUUGCAGCCACUAGAUCUAAAUAAAUGAGUUCCUUAGAUCACCAAUUGAAGAUGGCAGUUCUUCUAUUGCAGUUCCAUUCAAGUACAAGUAUCUUAUAUUCUUCGAAAAAUCAGGAAACCUGCUGAUAGAAGAGCAGCCAGAGAAGUCAGCAAUUAGAAGACAUGUCAGCAAAUACAUGUUUUCUGGAAGAUUCACCAGGAGGUUGCAGUUCUUCAAAUUCAACGCAACAAGUCCACUGAGUUCCCCAAUUGAUUGGGGAAGCUCAACAGCAGUCUCAUUUAAAUUUAAAUAUGUCAGUUUCCUUGCAGUUUCUGGGCACUUCUUGAGAUUUGCACAACCAGAAAGGUUCAGAGUCUCCAGACAACUUGAAUUAAUUCUACUGGGAAGAUUGAUUAGUCUUUUGCAGCCUCUCAAAUCUAAAUCAACAAGCUUGUCCAGAUGCUGAACAGCUAAAGGAAACUUAACCAAACUUGUAUAGAAUUGAAGAUUCCAUCUCUCAAGGUUUCUGGCCUUUGAAAGGUCUGGCAUAAAAGUUAUGUGCUCGCAAUUGCUGAGGUUGACAUCUUUUAAAUUGACGAGAUUCUGAAGCAAAAUGAAAUCAACAGAAAGAAAUUACACGUGCAUACCACAAUAAAUUUCAAAGAAAGAACUAUGCAUGCAUGGAGUUAUUUUAGAAUACCUGGUCUCCUGUCCACAGUUGAUUAACCUUGCUAGAUGAUAGGUUAAUUUCAACAAGGUUCUGAGGACGAAAAUUGCUAGGCAAAGAUGUCAAAGGGUAUCCAUCCCAAUGGAGAUACCUCAACUCUUCAGAAAGAGACUGGAGGCCAUGAGGAAGGUGCACUCUACAAUUCCAAUGACGAUAGACAACCAAGACUGUCUGGCACUACCGAUAAAUGGCAACCAUCUAGAUUUAGCUUACGCAAACAAUCUAAAUCCACGCAUCUCUUGGGCAAUUGCAAGUCAACAAAACAUUCGAUGUCAUUUAGAUAUUUGCAGUUUCCCACUUCCAAGCAGGCAAGUCCCUUCAGAUUUCCAAUCGGUGAAGGCAACUUUGUUAUGCGUGUUUGUUCUAAAUAGAGAUAUCUCAAACAAUACAUCGGCUCCAAAACUUCUGGAAAAUCCCUAAAUUGGAGGCAACCUGAGAGAUUAAGCCUCUGCAGUUUUCUCAACUUACAGAUGCUGCUUGGAAGAAUCUCAAAUUGUUUGCAGUUUUGCAGGUGCAAUUCAUGAAGUUCACACAAACAUUCUAUUGAAGAGGGAAUCUCUCGUAUUGCUGUCCCAUCUAAAUACAGCUCCUUUAUAUUAUUUGAAACCUUUGGAAACUCCGCGAUACUUGAGCAACCGGAAAGAUCUAAAUAAAUGAGUUCCCUUAGAUCACCAAUUGAAGAUGGCAAUUCUUCUAUUGCAGUUCCAUUCAAGUACAAGUAUCUAAUAUUCCUCGAAAAGUCAGGAACCCUGCUGAUAGAUGAGCAGCCAGAGAUGUCGACGAUUAGAAGAGAUUUCAACAAAUAUAUGUUCUCUGGAAUAUUCACCAGGAGUUUGCAGUUUUUCAAAUUCAACGCAACAAGUCCACUUUGUUCCCCAAUUGAUUGGGGAAGCUCUUCAACAGCAGUCUCAUUUAAAUUUAAAUAUGUCAGAUUCCUUGCAGUCUUUGGGCACUUCUUGAGAUUUGAACAACCAGAAAGGUUAAGACUCUUCAGACAUCUUGAAUUAAUUCUACUGGGCAGAUUGAUUAGGCUUGUGCAGCCUCUCAAAUCUAAAUCAUUAAGCUUGUCCAGAUGCUCUAUAGAUGAAGGAACCUUAACCAAACUUGUACAGAACUGAAGAUUCAGGCUUUCAAGGUUUCUGGCCUUUGAAAGGUCUGGCAGGGAAGUUAUGUGCUCACAAUUGCUGAGGUUGACAUCUUUUAAAUUGACGAGAUUCUGA
rnacentral:lncRNA from 1 species